GAACUUUCUGUUGUUUUCAUGGAUGGCAUUUCAACAUCAAAGACAUGGAUAGAUUAGUUUAAGAUAUUGGAAGUAAGUAAAGGAUAAAAAUAUAAGCUUAACAAUUUAAACUUACUGAAGCUUUAGCUUAAGAAUAUUAAUGCUUUAACUUUUUUUUGAUAAGGUAAAGGUUUAUUGGCUAAGUACCAAGAAGGUACCAAAACCAAAAGUUACAAAAGACUGCUGGGAAUAUCCAUACAGUCAAUUACAACAUUUCCCUAGCAGCUCCAAAAACUCCAUUUAUUGAUCUAUAUUAUCAAGGAAACUACUUUUACACCACCAAACAAAUUAUGUAAACACUUGUUUUAACUCUAGAAAUAUGGUCUUUUUGCCCAUCAAAACAAGCUUUAUUCUUUCUAGCCAGAUAGUCCAGAAUAUGCACAAAGGUAUAGUUCUCCAGAUUUGCUUCAAAGUUUUGUGUGUUCUCUGGUGCUGCCAACUCUCCAAUAAUUCCUUCACACGCUGAGGCAUGAUCCAAGAGAUCCCGCAAAUACUGAAGAAAAAUUCCCAACAUUGUCUAGCUAUUCUGCAAUGCAAAAGAAGGUGAUUCACAGUCUCCAAAUCUUCUUCACAUAAGUAAUAUCUAUUACUUAGUGCAAAACCCUUUUUCUGAAGAUUAUCCUGUGCAAGGCAAGCUUCCCAUGCUGCAAUCCAACCAAAACAAGCUACCUUUAUAGGUGCCUUAGUUCUCCAAAUCCCUUUCCAUGGCCAACUAGUAUCCCAAAAUCUCGUUUGCUUCAUUAGAAGGCUAUAGCACUUUUUAACUGAGAAGGUUCCAUCAUUACUAGCUAUCCAUACUAGUGAAUCCCCCUUGCUCUGAUCAAUGUGGGUAUAAUCCAGUUGAAGGAGCAAUUGACAGAAGUCGUCAAUUUCCCAAUCAUUCAAAUUCCUUCUAAAAUUCAUCUGUCAUCCCGUGUUGGAAUAAAAAUCAGCCACAACUCCAUCUUUGUUAUUGCAACAACUGAAAAAAAUAGGAAAUCUUUGUUUCAAGCACACAUCACCCGUCCAUAAGUCCGUCCAAAAUCGAAUUUUGGCUCCAUUCCCCACCUCCAAUUUGGUGAAUUGUUGAAACUCGGCCCAUAAUUUACAAAUCCCUUUCCAUACUCCCCCUCUAGAGUAUGAAAUAUUUGAAGGGGGAUUCCAGCCUUGUCUGCUACCAUAGAUUGCUUCAAUUAUUUUGAUCCAGACCACCACUUCGUUCCUGCUAAAUCUCCAAAGCCACUUAAACAACAUGUUUUUGUUGUGCAAUCUCAAGUUUCUAAUUCCCAAUCCACCCCCUUCCUUUGCCCUAGUGACCACUAGCCAUCUAACUAAGUGAAACUUUUUAUUGCUACUAUUUCCUUCCCAUAAGAACUUAUUCCUCAUAGAGUUCAUCUUUCUUUCAAUUGCUUCAGGCAUAGCAAAUAAUGACAUUAGAUAGGAAGGCAUACUAUCUAAAAUGCUGUUAAUCAAUGUGAGUCUUCCCCCAAGUGACAAAUAUUGUUUCUUCCAGGGAGUUAAUUUGUUGGCACAUCUAUCCAAAACUCCUUGCCAAAUAUUCUGGUCAUUCCUUCUCACUCCCAAUGGAAAUCCAAGGUAAACUAUAGGGAAUUUUUCCACCUGACACCCCAAAAUAUUUGCCAAGUCUCCUAUACAGUCAUCCUCAUUUAUACUAAAUAUACAACUCUUUCCCAGAUUUACUUUCAAUCCAGACAGUGCUUCAAAAAUCAGUAGAAUUCCUCUAAGAUAAAGAAAUUGUUCUUUAUCUGCCUCACAUAAUAAAUGAGUGUCGUCUGCAUACAAAAUAUGAGACAACAUUACAUUGUUACAAUUGUUUCUCCCAAUACACAACCCCUUGAUCCAACCCAAUUGUUCAGCCCUUUUUAACAAGUUGCUCAACAAUUCCAUUAUUAAAACAAUAGAUAAGGAGAUAAGGGGUCUCCUUGUCUCAACCCUCUUUGAGACUUGAAAUAGCCAUGAGGACUUCCGUUUAUUAAGAUGGAAACUCUAACUGUAGAAAUACAGAAUCUAAUCCAGUCAAGCCAUUUGUUCCCAAAAUUCAUCAACUUCAUGACAUUGAUCAAGCAAGCCCAAUUAACAUGAUCAUAAGCCUUUUCAAGAUCAAGCUUGCAGGCUACACCUCUCUUCUUCAUUUUCAACAAAUGUUCCACACUUUCGUUAGCCACCAAAGCUGCAUCUAUUAUUUGUCUACCUUUAAUGAAGGAACUCUAAUGAUGAGAGAUCAAAUUGUCAACGACCAGUUUCAAUCUUUCAGCCAACAACUUAGCCAAUAUCUUAUAUACACUUCCUAAAAGACUAAUAGGUCUGAAGUCUUUUAUCUCCACUGCUCCCUUCUUUUUUGGUAUCAAAGCUAUGAAGGUAGAAUUUAUGCUUCUAUCAAAGGUGCCUUUCCGUUGAAAAGCAUCCACAACAUUCCAUAUGUCAAAGGUUGACAGUAUUCCAACACUUCUGGAAGAAAUGAAGAUUAAAACCAUCCGGACCUGGUGCUUUGUCACCAUCAAAAGAGUUGAUUACUCUUUCCACUUCUUCAAAAGUGAAAGGCCUCUCCAACCACUCUUUAUCUUCGUCUGAUAAUUUUCUCAGAUUAUCACCUUCCCAGCUUGGUCUCCAAACUUCAGUUUCAGUAAAAAGAUCUUGAUAAAAUCCCUGAAUAUGGUCCUUAAUCAACUCAUCAUCCUCAACAGUUCGAACAUGAUGAUAGAUAUAAGACACAUCAAUUAAAACGAAUGAAUCACGACGACGUUAAUGAUAACAAUAACUAUGCCUUAAUUCCAAACAAAUUGAAAUCGAUUACAUGAUGAUAUAUUUAGCCCCUGGGCUUAACUCAACCUCAUAGGGUAGCUUAUAAGGGGAGGGGAGGAUUGCCCAAGUCCAUAUAAGGAGACCAAACCAACCAUCCCCCAUUGAUGUGGAAGACUUAACACAUGAAUCCCCACUAAUCAUAUUUCUUUAUAAACACAAGAAAUAACGUGAGCAAUACAUAUUUGAUAAUUGCAAUUUUGUAACUAUAAACAUGUCAUGACUCAAUCUAGGAACAUGACAGAUACUUUGCUUAUCCACCUUCUAUAUGGGAUAGAUAGUCCCACUAUUUUAGUACAAAAUGGUUUCCAGGACUAACUAAUACUCAAAAGCAAACGCAUAGUAGAAUAAUCCUGCAUUUUAUACUAGGACUGUAAUCCCUUAUUCCAUCAACCAAACAACCCUUGAAUAUGUAUAAAAGUUUAAUUUAAAAAAUCAAACUAAUAACACUUGAGGUAUUUGCCCUAGAAUCCUAUGAGUCUGCCUCUGGAACUACUUUAAUACUAAGUCCUACAAACAAGCCUUGAACUAAAACAUCAUGUAGCAGAUAUAAAAUCAUUAAGAUAAAGUAAGAGGUUAGGUAGCUCACCAUCUAAUCUUUGUUUCGGAGGGCGACCUGGACCACGUCGUAAACCCUGGCCGUGUAAUCGUAGAGAAGGGCCGAAAGGGGUGGGAACAAAGAAAUCUGGGGAGUCCCUUUUUCUUGAAUUGUGCCUCCUACCAAGAGAAGUCCGAUCACCAACUCUGCGUUGAUGAUCGUCCAUGAUGGUAGGAUCACAAAUACUGUUUGUAGGUGAAAUCGGGGCCAAAGGGCUUGGAAUCACAGGUGAAGGUGGUAUAUCGUUUUUCUCCGCCGACAUUCUUACUUCUGCUUGAAAAGGGGUUUUCUGAAUGGAAAUUUGAGGUGAUAGCUCUAAAAUCUAAGCGAAGAAGGAAAGAUCUUUAACAGAGAAAUAAUGGCCGAAAUAGACAAUUUCUUGAUAGGAAUAAAAAUGGAUUUUGGUUGAUGAAGUAGUUCAGUGUGGGAAAAAAAACUCUAGAAUGUUCUUACAUUAAAUUUUAGAUUCAAUAAUAUAAUCCGAUUGCGCCUCAAAUCUGGUAAUCUUGGUCAUGUCAUACAAGGCAAGUAUAUAAAAUGAAGAAGAAAAAAAAAGUCAUGAAAAUUUUACUAAAUAUCAAACAUGACGUUCCUUUCAAACAAAUUAAAAAGAAAAAUAAGACUCAUAAAUUAAAAUGAAUGAAUCACAAUGACACUGAUGAUAACAAUAACCAAUUCAAAACAAAUUGACAUCUAUUACAUGAAUCCCCCACUAAUCACAUUUCUUCAUAAACACAAAACGACAUGAGCAAUAUAUUUUCAAUCACUAUGAUAUAUUAGCUAGCAUAUAACUUAAAUUAUACGAACUUCAGGCGAUAGGUGGCAGAUUCUAAGUACUAAGUUCAAAAUGAUAUUAAGGAAAACUUACUAAAGCUUUAGUGAUACUGUGAUAGAUACAUGCUUUAAACUUAAAAGCGUACUGAGAAAUGAAAACAAUCUGUAUGUUUGGAAGUUAGAACAUAAUGAAAACAAACUAAAUCUUUUUACUUCUGAUGAUGUAUGCUUCAAAUUUAGAACUUGAUAGAUGCUUUAGAGUUGCUUAAAAAAUAGAGCUAACAGUGGAACUCACUCUAUUGUUAUAUCAAGAGGACUAGUUCAUUUGGUGAGUUCUCUGCAGUUGAGCCAACUGUGGAAAUCACUCUACAGUUAGUCAUUCGUCCUUCUUCUUGUAUCAACGGACUAACAUUCUUCUAUUGAGGGACUGACAUUGGUAUCUUGAACGACAGUAGUACGAGGACCUUCAUCAGUACCUCCUUGAAUAAUAUCAGGUGCAACAUCUUCAAUUUCUGUCUUCACUUCUUUUAUUAAUCCUGACUGUGACUGCAUAGCUGGAGAGUAUUGGUUUGGCCUAUCUGACUUUUCACCACAGCUCUUAUCCGACAUCCUUUAAGCUUUGGUUGCUGCUUCGGACUGAUAAAUUGAUGCCACGCGAUCUUGAAGACCAACUGCAGGGGUGUUACACAUGUAAAUGAGCAAAUUAAUAGUAAUCUGAUCACCAAACCAACAAGUUAAAACAAUGGAGCUGUCUAUUUUCCAUUAGUGAAUAAACAAAGUGAACUCCGACAAAUAAUUCUUAAAUUUCUAUUAUCAGAGUGAGCGACUAAGUAGGCGUUUUGACAUAGUAUUGGUUGAAACUUGAAACCAAAAUAGGAGAUUUUUGUUACAUAUCCACUUUUUGAAGACAUUAACAUAAUCAAAUGCAAAUGUGCAUAUAUAGUCAAAUUACAGGAUCAGAAGAACACAGUAGUUUUGAGGAUUUCCUUGAAGCAAAAGACAGUAGUUAAGUCAUUCUCGUACUAGAACAUAGGAAGUUGACAUAAAACAGAAGUAAAAAAGCAGUCUAAUGCUGCAAGAUUGUACAUGCUAAAAGACAGAAAGCAUGACAAGAAAAUUUAAGGAGAAUCUACUACAUGACGAUAACCAAAUGAAGAAAUAAUUCUUGUCUGCUGCUGCAAAUAUGAACUCCCAAAACAGUUCAAGAUGGUCAAGAGGACUUCCAGUUCAUUUAGUAGGGAGCUUGUUCAAUGAGUAUCAAAAAUCCAACUUAUCGAGAUUAUCAAGAAAUGUGGAUCGUAGGUGUCGAGUGGUGGAUUCAAUUCCCUGGAGAGCUGCAUUCUUGCGCUGCUCAAUUUCCCUUUGCUUUGCUUGAGCUGCCUCCAACUGGGUGCCAAGUUCUUCCAUCUUGGCUUUUGCAACUUCAUGGGCUUCUUUGUAUUUUAUUUCGUUAUGUUUCAGACACUCUUCUUCAUGUUCGAUACGUGCUACCUCUGUCUUCAGAUCCUUGAUUUGCCUCUUCAAAGUUUUCUUUUUAUUCUUGGCCAUCUCCAGUUCUCCUCGAGUACGCCCCAAAUCUUCCUCAACAUCAUUUACACUAAGUACAUCAUUUUCAUAUUUUUUCUGCAAUGCUGACAAAGACAACAUAGUUUCUUCUUUCUCCAUGUCUUGCAAAUCACAGCAAUAUUUAAUGUGUUCUGCGACAUCUCUAUAAGAAGAGCCAUAAUCUGCACCAAGCCCUUUCAAAUAUUUAAAGGUAGAAUUGGCCUGAUGGACCAUGUAGUCAACGUCAUUCCCAGAAGUAAGCAGAUUCUGCACCAAUAAAGACUCGACUUUAACAAUUACUUUCUUCGAGUUUUCAUCAAGAAUGUGCUGGAGUGUAUAAUUUGUCUUUGGAGGAUGCUUCAGUAUUCUUGACGGAUUUACAUUUGACUUUGUCCCCUCUUCACCAGAGGGAACUUCCAAAGGCCUAUAUCUGGUUGACUCCAAUAGAGAUGGGGCAACUGCCUCUGGAGUACACCAAUCACUGGUUGACCCCAAUGGAAUUGGGGCAACUGCCUCUGGAGUACUUGUUGUAACUGAAAUUUGCAAUGGACUAUCUCUGGUCGACCCCGAUAGUGAUGCUGGAGGUGGUGAAACUGCUGGAGCUAACAGCAUUAACAAUUUAAAGUUAAAACUAAGGCUAGUUUAUAAGAUAUAUGCUUUAUAUUUACGACUUAUUGAAAACAUGCUAAAUCUUUAGUUUUAAAAAAUGUAUACUUUGAAGUUAGAACUUACUGAAAAAUGUGAACUUUUUGUGUUAUCUUUUUGUUAGCAUACAUAUUAUUCACCAAAAAGCUUCAUAUUUGUGACACAAUUCCAAUUCAUAUUGGCAAACUUUAAAGUUUUAUACAUGACUCAAGCUCAAAAUCAUUAAUAAGAGGCAAAAGUAUGGCGAAAUGAGGAGGCUCGCCUUCUGAUCGCUGUUUUCUGGGGAGACCUGGUCGACGUCGCAAAGGUUGGGAGGCUGGACUUUUUGUUGCCACCAUGGAUGGCAUUUCAACAUCAACAUGGAAAAAUUUAGCUAAAGAAAUUGGAAGAAGUAAAGGAAAAAGAUUUAUACUAAACAGUUAUAGAACUUACUGAAGCAGGAUGUUUUCAAGUUAGAAUUUCUUGAAAACUAACUGAACCUUUAGUUAAAAAAAGAUGUAAGCAUUUAGUUUGUGAGGCCGAGUGUUCCAAAGUUAGAACUUCACAUAUGCUUUUUUGUGGUUUCAACUUUUUAUAUCAACUAUACCUCAGUCCUAAUCAAAUUGGGAGUACCAUAUGAACUCUUACCAAUCAGUUUAAAGUCACCUCAUUCACUAGUAUCAUUUAUAUAGGAAUGAAAAAUAUAGCGAAUCAGGGGCGGAUGUAGGCUUUAACAAAUGGCUUCCAAAAACCGAGUAGCUUUGGCCCAAAUCCCAUAUAUGUGAUAAGAUAUCAAGUUUUCACACGGAUUGACCCUAUUUUGGGGUGGUCUUUAGUUUUUGCUCCUGCUACUCAUUUAAUGAAAAUUUGUGAGUCAAAAUACCGUUAUCUAUGACCUAAUUUAAAGUUAUCCAGCUAAAGGGCUAAAAUUAAAGAUCACAUAUUUCAGGAGCAAAAAUUCAAGACUACAUACUAGCAAAAACUAAACACCAUCUCAAAAUAAAGGCAUUCAUGCAAAUGACACACAAGAAAUCAAUAUAUAUACAACAAAAAAAAAAAAACAGCCCNNNNNNNNNNNNNNNNNNNNNNNNNNNNNNNNNNNNNNNNNNNNNNNNNNNNNNNNNNNNNNNNNNNNNNNNNNNNNNNNNNNNNNNNNNNNNNNNNNNNNNNNNNNNNNNNNNNNNNNNNNNNNNNNNNNNNNNNNNNNNNNNNNNNNNNNNNNNNNNNNNNNNNNNNNNNNNNNNNNNNNNNNNNNNNNNNNNNNNNNNNNNNNNNNAAAAAAAAAAAACAGCCCGAUGCACUAAAGCUCCAGCUAUGAGCAGGGUUUGGGGAAGGGCCCGAGAACAAGGACCUAUUGUAUGCAGCUUAGGUGGUUGAUCUAGAAUUCGUAGAACUACUUUAACACUAAACCCCACAAAGAAACAACAACAAUAACAGCAUACCUACUAACAGCAGAAUAUACACAAAUCUUACCAGUACCUCAUAGUACAGUGAAAAACCCUCGACUCAAGUGAAACAAAUCAAAGUAGUAAUAAAAGGAAAAAUGACCUAGAAAAACACACAGUAAUAUCAACAAAAUAGCGAGAUCACCUAAACAUAAUAAACAACAUAUAAAAGCCCACAAAUAAAAACAAUGUUACUCAUAUAGUACUAGAUAUAUAAAAUCAUAUCUCUAUCUCACCAUCUGCCCUCUGUUUCGGAGGGCGACCUCGACCCCGUCGUAAACCUUGGUUGUGUCGUCGUGGAGAAGGGCGAAAAUGGGUAGGAACAUAGAUAUUUGGGGGAGCCCUUUUUCUUGAACUGCACCUUGUAGGUACAAUCUUAGCCAAAGGUAUUGUAAACCCAGGUUUUAUAUCAGAAUCAGAGUUUCCCUCUAACAUUCUUAGUGAUUUUUGCACUGCAAAUAAAAAAUAAUAGCUCUAGCAAAGCAGAAGCAAAGCAAAGAGCUUUAAGAGAGAAAAUGGAUGAAAAAGAUUGUAUCUUUGAGAGAAAUAAAGGUGAAGAUAGUGACAAAAAUGGUGAUGUUUUGUUGCAGAGAAGUAAAUACAAGUGUGGGAAAAAAAAGGACAUGCAAAUAUUAGAAAAAAUUUACUAUGGGAGAGGUAUAACUUGUAUUAGUUGUGUGAGGGUAUUUUUUAUUGCAAUUAUAUUCUGAUUUAUGAGAUUCAUUUUUUACUUUUAUUUCAUUGCCUUUUGUUUCUCUUUCAUGGUCUUCUCUUCUUCUUUUUUCUUGCCAAUUUUUUUUUAAAAAAAAUAGUAAAAUUAUUUGAAAACCAUUCAAUUACUCCUUCAAUUUUAUAAUAUAAAUAAAAAUAUUUUUUAUGGUUAAAUAAUUACCUAAGAUAUUAAUAUUCAAAUUUAAAUACAAAUAUUAUUCGUAUUUGUAUCAUAGGAUUAAACCAUUUUUCAUCUUCCUAAUUCAUUACUUUUUAACUUCUACUUUUAGGAUCAAUUUAAACAUAAAAAUUAUUUAAUUUUUUAAAAUAAUCUAUUUUCAACUCAAUUUUCACUUUUAAUAAUGUAUUAAAGUACAUUCAAACAUGAACAUCAUUUUGAAUAUUUUUUACAAAAAAUCAUUUUGAAUAUAUAUAAAUUUAAUUAUAUUUGUACUUAGCGAUUCAAAUUUUCUGACAAAAAUAUUUCAGCAAUUUUUUUUUUUUGCCAAUUCCUAAUAUUGAGAGAUAUAAUUUUGAUAAAAUUUUUUUGCCAAUUCCUAAUAUUGAGAGAUAUAAUUUUGGUAAAAUUUCAAUUUAGAAGAAAAAAAAGAAAAAAAUGUUCGAAGUUGAAGAAGAAUGAUGUUCGAAUUUUUAUUUUUAUUUUGGGAUAUGAUGAGCUUAAAGAAUAGUGGAUCCCAUAAUUCACUUUAUUUAUAUUAUUUAGUAUAAUUUCAUUAGGUCAUGUCAAUUUUAAAUCAUAUUUUCUCUUUCUUCCUAAUGUUUGGAGAUUUUAAGUCAAAGAAUGGACUCACUAUAUCCAAGUGUGAAGGAAUUAGUGGAGCCUCACACAAUUUUUGUUUGUUGUGCCUCUACCAUACUAAAUUUUUUCCAAAUAUUGUGAAGGAAAAAAGAAGAAGUAAUCAUUUGCUUCUUUUGUGAUUGAGUGAAGGAAGAGAUAAAACCAUUUUUUUCUACUAAAAGAUACUUAUGAAAUUUUUUCCAUUUUUUGAAAUUCAAACUAUUAUAAAGUUUGAUUAAUAUUUUAAGAAAUAUAUUUUUAAUGGUAUUAAUAUGAUUAAAUGGAAAAAUAAGACUCAUAAAUAAAAUGAAUGAAUCACGACGAUGUUAGCAAUAUAUUUUCAUUAACUAUGAUUUAUUAGUUGUCAACAUCAAAGGGUACGUAAGCCUCAUGAAUCUUUAAGUUUUAAUAGUUUAUAAAUUAAUAUAAUAAAUAAAAGAUAACAAUGAUAAAAUUACAUAGAAAUAUCAAGAAAAUAAAUAAUAAGUAUGAUUGUACAUAGAAUGUUUCAUCUUGAAAUGUUUUCAAAAUCUACAAGAGACUCUUCAUCAAAUGCUAUUUGUAAGACAGUAGGCGUCGAGUGGUGGAUUCAAUCCCUUGGAGAGCUAUAUUCUUGCGCUGCGUAAUUUCACUCUGCAUUUCUCUAGCUGUCUCCAUUUGUGUACCAAGUACUUCUACCUUAGCUUGUGCAAUCCUAUGGGCUGUUUUGUAUUUUAUCUCAUCAUCUUUCAAGCAUUUCUCGUCUUGUUCAAUAUCAGCAACCUCUCGUUCCAAUCUACGAAUCAGUUCUCUUGCAUCUUCUAUUUGCUUCAUCAGAGGUUCCUUUUUCUCCUUAUCCAUUUUUUGAUUUACUUGAAUGUGUUCAAUCUCCUCUUCAAUAUCAUCUGCAAAAAUAACAAUGUCGAGAUAUUUUUUCUCCAAUUCUGAAACAGAUAACAUAUGUAGUUUUCUGUCAGCAGUGAGUAAAUCAUAUUUGUAAGCAAUCAAGUCCUUGACAUCUUUGUAGAAUGAACCAUAAUCAGCGCCAAACCAAUUCAUCGUGGUGAAAGCACGGUUGGCUAAAGUAACCAUGUCAUCCACGCUAGUAGUCGUCUCAGAAGUAAGAUGAGACACCAACAUAGACUUGACUUCAUCAGUGAUCACUUUCUUUGAUUUUUCAUGCAUUUGAGAAGAAUGUCCAUUUGCUUUAGUAUGUGUUUCUUUUGCUGUUUUCAGUCUUGAUAAAGGAGUUAACUUUAACUUUGUAUCUCUCUGUUCUUCCUCUUCAUCACAAGGAAUUAGCAUAGGCAUUUCACUGGUUGACCCCAAUGGUGGCACAGGAGGUGGGGGAACUAGCUCUGGAGCAUUUGUGCUUGUUGAAACUCGCGAAGGAGUAUCUUCAUUUGAUCCUAUUGGUGGCACAGGAAGUGAGGGAACUGCUGGAGAUUUUGUUGGCACUGUCACAUAAACAAUAUCAACUGUUUAGUUUAAGAUAUCAGAAGAAACAAUGAAAUAGACGUGUGAUCGAUCCUCCAGAAGUUAAUCAUGUCUUUGAGGAUCAACGCGCAACCUAAUGCAACCACUUAUUAGAAGGAAAACCUAUCAGCAAAAAAGCUUCAAUGUAGAAAUAUUUGCAUGAUGUUCCAACAAAAGAAACGAAUUCCAACAGAAGUCGUGAUUCAUUGUGUCAUUAUUUCAUUCUUGUUGUUAAGAAUACAACUAAAAAGUCGAAAUGACACAGAGAAACUCGGUUAAAAGUCUGAUACGGGUAAUUCAUAGUAUUAUGCAGGAAUACAAGCACACAAAAAUUUCAAUGUCCAUUCCAUUGACUUCAGCUCUGGCAGCCAAAAGAAAUGCCCGACUCCUUCUGCACCUUCAAUGAUUAAGCAGAACACACAACGCGAUAUGAAAACAGCACACAAACUUAAGACUGCUAUAAAUGAGAGAAGUUCAUCCUACCUUGUGUGCAAGCAAAGGAGAAGGUGCUAUGGACUGGAAGAACUUAUUAGCAAAUAUGAUGACAAAAAGAUCCUACUUUUCUCAGGAAAAGGAAGGUUCGAUUAUACAAAACUCCAACAUAGAACAUACUAGCAACCUACUACAUCCUGUCCUAACAAAUCCAAUCACUGAAAGCUCAACUCGAAACACUUUUGCUCAAUCAACUAAGCUACAAUCUUAUACUAGAAAGAAUAAAAGAAAAUAUUAGUUGAUGUGCUCACAAGCUGGCCCAAAAGCCACUAUUCAGAAGAGUAGCAAGGUGAAUCAAGAUUUGUCAAAAUUGUGACCACUUAGUAGUGGUAAUGUUUCGAGACGAUAAUUAGAGGAAACUACUAUAUUCAUGAUACACGAAAUAACAUUACUUUUCUCAUACACACAAAAAACAAAGACCAGAUGCCAACAGAGAGCCUUAUAAGAAACUGACGAGGUUUGUUUUUUUGAAUGCAGAAAUGCAUGAUAUUACUUUAGUAGAACCCCUAAUGCCAAGAAACUGCUAUAAUCUUGUAAAGAUUGCAUCUUUUUGAUGUUUCACUUGAGAAACAAGAAAAUGAAGGGCACCCCAGGUUUCCAAUUUGUGUUACACAACUAGCACAAAGUGAAAAAUACCAUUUUGAAAACACUGAAAAUCAUGCAUGUACAGGUUUUUCUUGUCUUUUUGUAAUGAAUGAUGAGUCAAAAACACACCUAACCCGGUUUUUUCGAGUUUCAUACUUAAACUAUUAAGUGUGCGAGUGAAACAUUUGGUGAUAGUUCACGCAGAUAACUCAUGAUAGUUUAGGUACGAAACUCGAAAAGUCGAGAUACAAGUGUAUCUUUGACCAUUAACUCUUUUUUAAUCAUGUUUGCUACAUUUCACAUUUCCUAAUAUAACAAUUUAUUAGAAGGAAAAACUUACCACAAAUCCUAGAAACUUUUUUGUACCUCCUUUUUUUCUUAUAGGGGAACCGACCUUGGAGUGUUGAAGAUGAGCUAGCUCCUUGUAAACUUGACCUUGUUGCCACCAUCUUUUCUUCCAAUGGAGUUUGAAUAUUUUUUCUUCAAGAAAUCAAAAACCAGAAAGUAGUACUAUAUUUGCUCUGAAAACUGAGCCAAAGCUGUAGGAAUUAGGAUGGGUGCUGGAAAAAGGGAUCCUUUUUGCCAAGGCAAGAUUUUACUCAGUUUUAUGAUGAUAAAAUUUUCAGCACACUUUAUGUGCCUUUUUGUACUAUUCCUUUUUUUUUUAAUUUCCCAUUCGGUGUCCAGAGCUCACAUUGGAGCCGUGACUAAAUCCGAAUCGCGCACGAGUGUACAAAGUUCACAUGGUGCACUGAAGGGCCAAUUCGGGGGUGGCACUCCCAACAAAAAAAAAUUCAUACCGAGUUCAAACCCGAUACCUCUGGUUAAGAAUGAAACAAGCUCGCAACUCCCCAACAACCCAUGUUGGUGCCUUUUUGUACUAUUCCAGUACAAAGCAGAAAGGAACAAUGGAAAAGAAAAGGAAAAUGACAGUUCGUACUAUUUCAACAAUAUUUGCAUGAACUGACCAAUUUAUUGUGAAAUUUCAAAGUUAGUAAAAUGCUCCUACUCUCCCAACCUGGGAACUAAGAAUACUCCUAUUAUUAAGUAUUAUUUCUAUUAAAACUUCAUUAGUUGACUUGCAAAUAUAUGUACAUGAACAAAAAAUUUAAGUAAGAAACUGUGAGAUGAUACUAUUGUGAUCAUCAUCAAAAGGGAAGUGAAAAGAAUGGCAAAAAAAAAAACUCAAAAAAAUGAGAAUCAAUUGAAUUAUAAAAAAAAUAAAGAGCAAAAAGUAUUUACAUAGAUCAACUAUUUUGCACAAAAAUAAAAGGAGACAAGCUCUCAAAAUGUGAUCGUUUACGAGCUACUCGUCUAUAAGGUUUCCUAUUUUUCCAGAACAACUGUUCAAUGUUGCUACUACUUCUUGGUAUAUCAGCAGCAACAUCCAUUCUCUCCCAUUUGGUUUUUCUUGAUUUCCUUCUUGAUUCUGUGUGUCGCGGAGAAGGCGUCUGAGGUACCUCGUGUUUGCCACCAACAACCCUGCAGUUCAAAUGAGCAGUCAGAGACUUAUAUCGCGAUAAAUCUUAGCAUUAGUGUGAGUUCGUUGACCAUAAAAGAACGGUUCAUCCAUUACUGGGGUGGACCUGGUUUCAAAGAAUUCAGAACCUUUAACCUAUCAAAAUUUAAAUUCUAGAUCCGCCUAUAGAAGCACACUUUUCUUUAGUUUUCGAAGAACAUCGGAUUUAUUUAUUCAAGCAAUUACUAGUUUUGGUAAAGGGAAAAGGAGAGGAUGCUCACUUUUCUUCGCCGCUUGUUGACAUUGAUGCAAAAUCCUCUCCUUCCAUGCAACAACAUGCAGGGCAGAUGUAGAUCUUUGGCAGUGAGGAUAACUUGAUGCAAUCAAAAUGAUACCAUUCAUCACAUUUAUCACAAGCAAUCAUCGGUCUUUGAUCAUAAGGUCUCCGACAAAUGCAAUAAAGCAUACUCCGAUCCCUUAGUAACUGCAUGUUCCAAAAAUAGUCUAAUUAAAUAUGAUACGCAUACACUUAACUUUCAUCUUAACAAGAGUAGCUCCUUCAACAUUUUACCUUAAGCUCCUUCUCACAUGACACAGGUAAAUUUUCACCCUCCGUGAUGAGCUCAAAAACCUUAUCCAAUCCAAGUGCGCCACCAUCUGUUGAAACCUGUUACAAGGAAGAUGGUUAAGGUUGAUGUCAUCUAUCAAGAACAUAACCACUGAGAUGCACUACAUGUACAGUUUUUACCUUCUUUGCAUUAUCAGCCCACUGCAACCCAAUGUUCUUCACUUCUAUCAGGCUUUGUCUAAAAUAAUCUUCUGAAGGAAUGCCGACAGCUAGUCCCUGAAGUAGUAUUGAACAAUCAACAUAUUAGGCUAUAAUAAGUUAGGUUGCAAGCGAUCUCCAAUCAAAUCUCGCACCAAUGAUAAGCCGAAAAAUAUCAAGAAAUGAUCUACUAAGGUCAUUAUGCUUUUAUCAUAGCUAAAAGGGCAACAAAUGUAUACUAUUAAAGUCAGCAUACUCAUGAACUACAUUCCUGAUUCACAAAAAACAUCAUAUGAGAGCAGGAGUUUCAGUAGUGGUGAACAAGCUGCCGAGAGUAGAGCCCACUUAUUUCGACAGUGAGCCUAAUGAGAAAACUCAAAACAGCCAAGACUUUUGAAGUGUCGUAAUAACUUUCUUAAGCUCAUUCAGAAAUCAGUUGACUGACUACUGAAACUUUAUCGGGACCAGUAGUGCCUCUGGAACUGAAUAUUGUAUUUACACCCACGUAACCCCUAUUAUAGUACAAUCUACCAACUACCAAAUCAUGCCCCUAUAUUAUCUUAUCAUUAAUACCCAAUGACCCCGAAAAAGGUAGAACAUAGAGGCACACAAGGCAAAAUAAUGUGGUGAACAAUAUAGCUCUUCAAGGAGAGAUGCACACGAAGGAGGGGUCAGAUUACUCAACCAGCAAUCAGAACUUCGAUGUGCAGCAAGCUAAAGCAGAUCACCGUAGAGGCAGAAGGCACCCAAGCAUGAUAGAACUGGAGUAAUAGGCAGAAUGCAACAGUUUUUGCUAUAAAGCAACUAUAUGGAUAUCAGAAGAAGAAUCUAGAUCGGCACUUCAAAAAGUCAAGAAGCCAACUGCAAGGAAUUGAAUUAGCAGAUUAAAAUUGAAGAGGUCAGGAAUUAGGUGAUGUGGCUUAAGGAGAUCAUAAGGAACUUUGAAUUUACACAUUAGAAAUUGACUGCUACUUCCUCAGAGAAAAAGGUUUUAGGGUAGUCUGUGAUGCUUGAGUGUGGGGCUUGCUCUAAUAAUUUAAUCUAUAUAGGUGUAAUCACUUGAGGCCUCCUCCAGUAAACUAUUUAUUGAACAGAAAAGAAUGACAAUAGGACUUUCAACAAAGUGAUAGAGGAAGUCGGGAGUUAUACAAGAUAGCUGGAGUGACACAAGAAUCUAAUGGGAAUCCUAAAACUUCACAAUUCGACUAAGAGUAUAGGAAAAUUGCCCAUGAUCUAAAGAAAAUUGGCACCUUUAAUAUAUUUUAUUCCCAUUUCCUGAUAUUCCACAACUAUGUUACAAAGAUUUGGGAAUGAGUAUGCGAUGUGGAUGUGGAUCCACAUCUGGUACAAUCAAAUAAUUUGCAGGUUUUUAGUUUACUUUGAAGGAUUUAUUGCAGCACACUCAAAAAUUAUAUUCCUGUAUGACAAGGCCAAUGUAAGGUUCAUGUCAGUAGACCCUAGUUCUCCAUUUUUGCUUAGAAAAGACAAACAAGAACUGAAUAUUAUUGUACGAGCUAUAACCUAUAUGGAAAGUGCGCUGGAGCAGGAGUACCCCAAGAAAAAUAUAUAGAACAAAGUGCAAGGCAAAGUGCAGCAGACCUCUUUCAAAUGCCGUUGAAGCACUUGAAUUGAGGGUUUCUGUGAACCAUCUAACAAUCUCUGAGCUCUGAUUUUCCAAGAAGUUCUUGCUAACGCCAACUCGAGUUUGCUGUUUGCCUCAGAAUCAUAUGCACCAACAAUAUGUACAGCCUAUGCAGUCAACAGAAAGUGAAAAUAAGUUCCAAGUGUCGAGUUUACAGUUAAUACUCUGGCAUGCUCAUAGAAAAAAGUCAUACUAAAUUGAUUCAAAACAAUGAAGAUAGAAAACCAUAUGCUCACAACAAUGAAGACACCAUCAAAGAAAUACAUCAGCAGGAGAAAGCAUUAUCAUAUCGGUGGACUCAAAACAGGUCACACUAAUAUUGUCAUUGAAACUGAAUGCUGAACAGCCAUUUGGUACCUUCAAAGCAACACAGAAUUUUUUUGCAAUAAUGCUAAGGUCUUCAUCUGGAUAAGCUAAAACAAACUUGACAAUCUCUUCUAUGCGAGCUUUGAAAUCGAGAGCUUUUUGACCAAUUUGAUGAAGUACAGCUCUUUCCUGAAUCCUGCCAGGAGAAUGUCAAUGAUUAAGUAAAACACUUUAGAGAAAGUGAGGCGUCGGUUUGGACACAUAUAAUUUGUGAGAGCAAGGUUACACACAAUAGAAGCACAAUAAAGUUGAAAGAAGCAAAAAAGAAACCCCACCCCGCCACAACAGAACAAAAAGAUGGAAGGUGGUUCAUUUUUUUGGGAGGGGAGUGGACAGAUAAGGAAGCUAACAUAAGCCAUCUAUUGUCAAUAAGCUUUGCUAAUGAUCUGGAUAUAUGCAAUGUCUCCACUGCAGAAAUUCCAUUAAUCCAUUCAGAUUUAAUUGGAUAUUCUGUUAGACACUUGAAAACAUCAGGAAAAUACUCGGUAUUCCUUUCACCUACCUUAUACCUUAGUCGAAAUAGUACAGGAGGAAACAAAUUGAAAAUCCAUACACAAAUUCCUAGAGUCGUUUGUUUAGUCUCAAAUGGUAAUUAUUCUCGUUUCCGGAAUUUCUAUCAUACAACUCUAAAAUCAGAGUUGCAAACUACUAAUAGUCUAAUACAAGGAGGGAUACCAAAUGCUGCCGAACACAACAUCCACUCACUGCCAGAACUCCACAUUGUCCCAACCAAAAUGAGAAGUCAAAGAAACAAGAGAAAAAGACAAUUGGUAUCCUAGCAUCCUAAAAGCAGUCUAGAGUCUUCUAAGCACAAAUUUCAAUUGAAACAGGCUAUAGUCAUUACCAUAAACAUAGAUCUUCAGCAUCUGAUAAGAGCUCAACGAGCUUGUGCAACUUGAGACUCUUCCUUCCAAUAUUCUGCAAUAAGUAAAACAAGAAAUCACGCAUUACUACAAACUGUAAGUGCUGGCUCAUUCACAGAGCUACUGGGUCAAGCAUACCAGAGGAUCACUUCCAUUUCUUGAUAUUUUUCCACUGUUCAUAAAGUGACAAUAAGGACAAAUGAAAACUUUCAAAUCAUUGGCAUCUCCUGGUGACCAUCCUAUGCACUUCAAGUGGAAGCUGUAUGAAAGCAUAACAUCUUUUAUAAGUGAUAACGAAAGCAUCUUCAGAUGAAAAAUAAUGAAUAAAUAGUUGUUCAACGACAAAAUAGUCCCUUGGUUAAAGGAAAUUAAUAACCCAUUUGGCCAAGUUUCUCGGAAUCUAAAAGCACUUUUUUAAGAUUUAAGGUCCAAGUCCAAGAAGGAAAAGUGAUUUUGAGAAGUUGUAGAAGCAGAUUCUCUGUUGUAGAGAAAAAAGCUACAAAUUUGUGCUUCUUCCAAAAAUAAAAGCAGCAGCAACAACAUAACCAGCAUAAUCCCGCAAAUGGGGUCUAGGGAGGUUGGGUGUACAUAGAACUUACCCUUACUUUUGUGGGUAGAGAGGUUGUUUCAAAUAAACCCUCGGCUCAAAAGAAAAAAAUUCAAAAGAGGUUGAAGAAAAAUAUGACAGCAAAAUAGUAAAAUACAAAGCAAAAGGAGCAACGGAUAGUAGUACACAUGAAAGAAUAAGGAACUACAUGAUUACUAUGGAGAGGAGGCUAUCUCUCUGCCUCUUCCACAUAAAGUGCGACAAUACUCAACUACCUACUAAUCAUCUACCCACUAAUCAUCUACCCUAAUUCUUGACCUCCAUAUCUUCCUAUCUAGGGUCAUUUCCUCAAAAGUUGGAGUUGAAUCAUAUUUUAUCUUAUCAUCUUCCUCCAAUUUUUCUACAGCCUACCUCUACCUCUUCUAACUCCUGCAACAACCAACCUCUCACACCUCCGUACUAGCGCAUCCAUCACCUUCUCUUCAUAUGCCCGAACCAUCUCAGUGACUCAGUUUCGCUUCCCUCAUCUUGUCUGCCACUGAGUCACUCCCACCUUGUCAUGUAUAACUUCGUUCCUAAUCAUAUCUCCCCUAGUAUUCCCACACAUCCAUAUGAGUCCCCUAGUAUUCCCACACACCCAUAUGAGUAUUUCCAUCUUCGCUACAUUCAUCUUUUGAAUGUGGGCGUUCUCAACAAACAUAUCCAUGCCAAAAGAUUACAUUACCAAACUAUUUGAUAUCAACUCAACCCAUCUGUUUCUCAAAUAUGAGUACAACCCUCUUCCCCUUUUCAUUUCUUUUUCUACCGGUUCUUCUCCUUCUAGAGUGAAAUUUUAAUUUAUAUUUAAUGAUGUAUUUUGAUUUAUUCAAAUCAUGUAAAAAAAAAUUAUACAAGAUAUUCAAUAUUAUUGCUUUCCUUUAUCUAUGUUUAUAUUGAUUAAAAUUUUAAGUAUAUAGUUUUUAUUUAUGUUUUCUACUUUAAUUUAAUAAACAUAAAAAGCAUAGACAAAAUUUUUGCAUGAUAAAUAUUUAAAAUCAUUUCUCCAUUUUAAUAGUACUAAUUAAAAAAUGACCCUUGAUACCGUCUUUUUUUGGUAAUUUGACACUCAAAACACUUUUUGGAGAGAUUGACCGACCAAAAUACAUUUAUCAAGUAUUGGAAAAAAACACUUUUCAAAUGAAUUGAUCAUACACAAACUACUAGUACUUUCCAAAAGUACUUCUGAAGAUAAGAUGUUUUUGGAAGUUUGACCAUAUAGGCUCUAAGUAUUAUUUACCCUCUGGAUAACUGGUAAUAACAAACAAUCAUUCAAAAUCCCCUCUCCCAAACAUCUAGAUCAAACCUUUUUAAGAAACACAAAAGUAGUAAGUUAAUUAGCCAGAUACAGUACCAGUCAUUGCAAGUAGAACAUGUCAAAAGCUUCUGGUUCACACCAUCAUGUGAGCAGAAUAUACAUAACGCGCUUGCAUUGGUCUGGUUAGAUUUCUCACAAAUGUUGAUUGAUCUCUCAAGUGCGUUUUUAGUCUGCAGAAUUCCAUUAGAUUGCAUCACACAUCUACCCCAUAAUAGCUAUAUAACCAGGUCAACAAAGCUCCAUGGGAACAAAAUAAAAAGAGAAAACAUCUUUAAACCUGUAAAAGAGCAGUAAGCAGGUGAGCAUCUCUAACUGAAGGGUGUAAGACCUCCUCACACCGGCGCUUCCACUCCUCUGUCUUAUGAACCUCAGAGAAAACCAUGUCCAAUUCGGAGCAACUGAAAGCAUCAUUAUUCCCUUUUUCCUGAACGUGUUCGAAUCACCAGACACCAUGAAAUUAAUGAAUAUCACAUGAUACCAAUAAAUGGUACGACAAAAUGUGUUUGAAGCUUCAAAGUAUCAGAACGUGAACUCGAUAUUAAUUACUUGGGGAGGUUGAGAGUAUUUUUUGGGUCAGUUCAAUGGAUAAAAGUUUACAAUUGUGGACAACAAGUCAAUUGAUAAAUCAAUGAGUCAAAUCCACGGGAAUUUUCUCAUCAUCAGUUCUCAAUAAGUUUCUCCACUAGUGUGUUUCUACACUUCCAUUCGCUUCCUCAAUUUCUACACAUAGUAGUAGGAUGAAAAUUUCCAGACAAGCUGUCGAAUCAAUCUCCAUAAGUGUAACUGAAAGCAGGAAUCUGAAUCAGAAGUGAGAAAACAAUACCUCCAGUUCAAAUGGGUUGCGAGAUAGCGGGGGAUAAUUUAGAAUGCUGUUAUUUUAUGAGGGUGUGAGAAAGGAUUUAGAGAAAGGAAAAAUAUAAUGAAGACGAAUCUUAUUGGUUAUCCCCUCUCUCAUUUAGUGGAAAAAUUCAAAUACCAAAUUUAACAAUCUAUAGAAAAGUUACUGAGAACAGAGACGAAAGAUGAGAUAUUCAAACUACUUUUCCAACUUCCAACAUAAUAAAAACUCAUAAAUUAGAAAUUCCAAGCAACAAAAAUACCCCAAUAACAAAAUUUCCAGAAAAAUAAAAGCCAUGACUUGUAGGAGGGAAAAGGAACCUAGUCUAAUACAAACAAAAAAAGAUAUGUUGACCUUGAGAAGAAGAAAGAAAAUACAGCACACAAAGAUAUGUUACCUUAAGCUGCAGCAACAGAUCCCAUGAUCGAUCCCUAAAGUUAAGGACAAAAAAUGAAUGCACCUGAUCCAUCCAUGAGCUGCAAAAAUUAAAAUUGUAAGUGAUAAAAUCAUAAAACUAACAACAACAUACCCUGUAAUCCCAAAGGUGGGGUCUGGGGAGGGUAGAGUGUACGCAUCCGUCCCCCUAACUCAUGGAGGUAGAGAGGCUUUCAUCGAAAACCCACGGCUCAAAUAACGCAUAUCAAAGCAGUAUGAAAAGGAAUAUACUGAAGUAAAAAAGACAGCAAACAAUAGAGAAAACAUUAUAUAGACUUUAUUUUUUCUUAUGGCCAUGGUGUCCAGGCCAGCUGAAAACAUUUAUAUGGAUUUCAGGAUAAAAAGAAGGCAACAACAGCAAAUAAUGUGGUAAAUAAAGCUAAAAUCAUAAAACUAAUUAAGGAACGCGUAAAGCAAACAAGAUGAAAAACAUAGAUGUGGCAGUGUGUCUGCCAGGGGUUUCUGAUGUCAAUAUGCCAAAUGAUUCCCCACCUAGACAUAGUUUCAUCUGCAAUAGCCAUUCAACUUAUUACUUUGGAACUCUGUACACAACCAUCUUCUCAGUAAUCCUUUCAUUCACUUGUCAUUGCUUUCUGAUACUUGACUUUUUCCUAUAGUUUCUUUUACCAGGCAGGGUAGAAAGGGUAUGUACAGGGAUGGUGGUGCAGUAGGUUUAUGCCACAUUCUACCAACAGAACGGACCUAACUUUUCAUAAAUGCCAAAUGGAAUCCUAACGACCUAACCCAACCUUUCAGUAGAAGCAAGAGACUAAAUAAGAUAAUAGUUUAAUUAUUAUUAUAAUUAUAAUUCUUAAAUAAAAGAAACAAAUAUUACUACAGAAAGUGUGAAAAUUGUGGGAAGAAUGUAGAAAAUAGCAUGGAACUAAACAGCCUCUCAGAUACUGAUAGUUUCUCAAAAGAGCUAACUUGAUACUUACAUGCGCAUUCACCAGAGGAAUCCAAGAAAAGAAAACUAAAGAAGCAUAAGAUAUUUUACCUAUAAUAUGAGAUAUCAGACCUUGGUAUGAGAUAUUAUUUCUAAAUAAUAUGUAGAAAAUUUCCAAUUCCACACUUGAUAGUAGCCGAAGAAGCUAUUUUUGGACAUCAUGAAAAUGUGAUGACAAACAGAUACACACCCCAUGGGCCCACACACAUGAAAUCUGUAUCAGUGGGGAACUUACUUGUGUUUCUCAAUGGCCUUCUGAAGCUGACUAAUCAUUGCAGGAGAUGAGACACAAAUGUUCUGCAGCACGAAGGCACCAAAUAUAGAAUAUAAAAUUUCACACGUAAGUAGAAUAUACCAAAAUAGCUAACACAUACAAGGAGGUAACAAUUCCUCAUAAGGGCUAUAGAAAAUGGAUAAAAAAAAAAAACACCUGAUACUGUCUGAGAACUUCUUCAGCAUCACUUAAGUUGGAUCUUCCAGCAGUAGAUUGAAUAGAGACUUCCAAAGCUCUAUUAAGCCAAUUCACCCAAUCAAUUAAGGAGAUACACAAACUGCAAGUUGUAUACAUGAUAGGAAGGUGGGUCGUAAUCUCCAAAUUCGUCUUGACUUCCUACAGCAAUGUCAACAAAUAAAAUUAAGCAUGUAUAGUGCACCAUAUUUUAAUAGGGACAGAUGAACAGUAAGAAAACAUCUUAACCAGGGCACCAUAAAAGUAACAACUCCAUUACAAAGAAGUAGGACAAACUAUGGAAUUAAAAGGCUUACAUGUGGAGAGACAGAACCAAGAGUUCUUUUUAAUCAUAAAGACAAAAAGUCUGAUGUGCCAAAUUAGGGGCUAAAGAAGAAAAACCAACUGAUAACACACAAAAGAUAAAAAGAAAAGGUCCUCAGCUCCUAACAACAUGGUAGUUGGCAAAAAUUUGAAGGAAGGAGAAAUGGGAGAAGGGUUUUGGGUGUCAUAUGCAGUCACACUAGCGAUACUCUCGAAUGAGGUGUUGCUUACUUGCUUCACUAAGUGACCUACCAUCUUUAGGUCAGCAACAUAGCUUACUGUUUACAACUUAGAGGUUUGCCAACAUGGAAAAGGAUAAGGGAUGAACAAGGAGUGGUGCUCCAACUAUACCACCGCCAGUAGUUUCCAAACUUAGGUAGAUUUACAUGAACCAAAGAGAGAUAGCAUUUAACUUUGCAAAGUGGCUAAAAGAGAAUUGUGCUCCAAAUAACUAACCAUCAAUAACCAAAUUCAAACUGUAAAUUUUUUAAUUCCACGGUGAUGACAGGCUAAAAGGUAUUAGAGCUGUUGAUCCUCGAAUACAGGCAAUACCAGAGGCAGAAUAUGGGACCAGGAACAAAAAUCUAGGCACUGGAUACCAAAAGAAGACAAAGAAAACUAGUAAAAUCACAUCUAUUUACCCCAAUAGUAAGGAGUGCAUGCACAGCCAAAACCUCAAUUCAUUGUCCAGAUCUAUCUGUUUUUAUGUUGAACAGAAAUCUUAUGAGACAAAUAAUUACCUCAAGUGUUGGAAUUGCAGUAGCAAAAGAUAGAGCCCUAAAGCACCAAUGAAGAGUAGAACAAGCGUCUUGAAGUUUUGGAACCAUAUCAAACUUGAAACCAAGACCUUGACCUGCUACUACAACUGAUUCUAUGGCUUGAAUUUGCUUUUCAAUUUUACCAAGUCUGCUCAAUAUUUCAUCAUCUGUAUUUUCGUCAUUCAACAGACACUCUGUAUCAUGCAACACAGAGCAGGCAUCCUGCUCCCACCUGGUGCAAGUAUCAAGCAAUGUCUGAAUCAUCAGUAGUUCUCUCAGAGAUAGCUUCAGAAGCUUAGAUUCUGAUACCAAUAUCUGCAGAAAUUACAACAAAGGAUGUAAGAGCUUGGCUAUAUUUCACAAAGGCAGAGUUUGCAAGUGAUUAACCUUCAAAGUUUCAAUUUCAAGAGAAGGACUUGAGCCAAGAGCCUUAGAAUCACGUGAUAGGAAGGGCUGUGACCUAGAUAGCCAAGACUUGGCCAUUGAUACCGCAUCCUUCACUUCAUCAAGAGAAGGAAGUAUCACAAAUAUCUCCUCUGAAGCCCUAAUUGUUUUGCAAAAUAUAAAUAUUAGACAGGAAGUAGAAUGAAUACACAAACAAACACAAGAAAUAAGAAGCAAUAACUAAAUCAGGGAAGGAGGCAACACCUUAUAACAUCCUCAAAUUCAGAUAUUUCUUCCUUAUUUUCAAGGACAUAUUUGGCUCUUUCCUCUAAAGAUACAGCAAUUGCUUUUACCUCGUAAACAUCAGUAAACAACUUCUCUUUCUCAAUCUGCAAUCUGGUGAUAUAAUCACAUAUCAAAUGGGAUGAACAAUAGUUUUUUUUCAAGAAAAUCAUAUUAGUAAAGCGAAAAUUGUAGUACUACAUGCUAGCCUCCAUCAACAGCCUCUCAAUAUAAUCCAUGGACAUUCUGCAACGAAGUGCCUGUACGAAAGAAGAAUUUCAGAAAAUUCAGAUAGAGGAAGGAAUUAGAGAUUUAUGAGACCAAAAAAUCGCAAUGAAAUAUGAAUCAAACAGCCAAGAAAGGAAAAGGGAAAGGUAAUAGGCCAUGAAAGAACACGGAAAAUGUAACUCAACAAUCCACAGAAAGUGAUAGGAGAAGAAAGACCACUCUAGUUACCUUCAGAGCUUUUACCCUACAACGAGCCUUCUUUAGCUCAAUAUCCACACAAGGCAGCUCCUCAACUAUGUCAGAAGCGUGAGAAAUAUUAGAUGUUUGCAUUAGAUCACAACUAUUAAACAAAAGAUAGACUGAGAUUUCCAAACCUUUAACCCUAAGCAAUGAUGCAUCCUUUUGAAUGCAAGUUAAUUCAUGAGCUACAGUUUCUUGAUCCUCCCUUUCGCUGAUGCCCAAUAGAAUAUUGUUAGCACGCGCUAUCCAAGACACAGCAUCUUUAUGAUAUCGUCUCAGAAGUUCAAGCUCUGGAAUGUUAACCGCAAAACCAUCCCAUUUGUUGAGAAGCGAUUCAAGUUCCUGUACAACAUAAAAUGUGGCAGUUAUGCAAUGUUCUACUUCCAUCAACACUAUUCAAACUUUGACAAGGUAGGAACAACCUUGACACUGAGAGAACCUUUCAACAUCCCACAGCAUUGAGAUUGACAACAUUCAACUUGUCUAAUUAAGUCUAGGAGCAUUUCACCUUCAGGAAGUUGCACUUGAAGGCUUAAAUUCUGGAAACAAAAAAUGUAAUAGAAUAAUCAUAAAACAAAUAAUCCCAAAAAGAAAGCAUCACAGAAAGCAAAGAUAAACAGAUCACCUCCUUCUCUAGCUUGUAGAGAAUAUCUGCCUCAACUCUAGCAGAAGUCUCAGACACACAUUUCCUUACUCUUUCAGCCCAAGCCUGGAAAAGCUCAAUAUGUGAGAUUAUAAAGCAGAACCCAUUCUAUUUCUGAAGAUUGAGGCAGCAAAUGACAAUUCACCACAAGCACAUAGUCACAUCAUACAGAGCUACCCUUCAAAUUAAUAUACAAUCCUACCAGCAAGAAGACACAAAGUUGAUAGACAUUUUAAAAGGUGAUUCAGAUAGCAGUUACCAUACAUCCAAAGCAUCACCAGUGAUUGUGUGUCACUUCCAGUUGCAUAUGUAAAUUCAGCGCAUUUCAUGGGUUGCAGAGGUAACUAUAAAUUGAAUUUAAAUUUUGUCCUUGAAUACAAUUCAAUUGUGCUACAGUGAAUCAAUUCUGAAACUAUGCCAAAAGGGUACUUCACUUUUAUUUUCUUUUGACAGGGGAAAAGAAUUCCUUUUUCUUUUAUAGACAUUUUUGAGAAAAAAAAAUUGAAGAUCUAACUAUCUGUGUUCUAACAUGGACUAUUGGAAAAUGGAGACCAUCUCCAAAGCUAAUUGCCUCCUAUGUCAGGCUAUGUGGAUUAUCCACUGAAUCAUCACUCAUCAGUUUUUUACAAGGCUGAAUCAAGUCAUCAAAUAUUCUUACAUUGUCCAGUAAGUCUUUACAGGAGUCUAUUCUUAGGAAGAAAAAAAACUAGAGUCUCGUAACAGCCACCAAUGGAAAGAAUGUGUUGGUCUGGUUUGCAAAGAUGAAGUGGAAACAUUUUGAUAUUGAAUGCUCGGACUAGCUGUGAAUUGAUAGCUUAUUGUUUGUAAACGGAGAAGACUUGCAUGAUCUCUCUAUAACAGGUCAAUCCUGGUCAUUCAAACUAAAUGGCUAGAUCAAAUGCAUCAUCUUUUCCUAAUAUCAUCCUUGAAGAAGGCGAAUAAAAAAAGAAAAAAGAGAACCCUAAAAGCUGCACUGACCGACCUCAUGUGGGUUUUCUUCUCAUUGCUUUUAAAAUUUGGAAAAGCAAACGAGUCUUCGCGAAAAUGUAAGUAUUUGCUGAUUCUUUUUUUGAGAUAAAGGUAAACAAUUGAAUUAAAUCAUAACUUAGCACCUAAAACAAUGCUAAGUUAAGAACUUUACAAACCAUACUUACAGCAGAAGACAAAAAACUGAGAACUUAUAUAUUGCCAAUUAAAUCUUUUAAGUCUCCUAUAUUGCUCCAUAUAUUCUGUUUACACCAAAAAAAGAACAAACUGAGACAAUUCAACCUAAUUUUCUGGAUAGAACUGCUAGUAUCUUCAAACUUCAAGUAUUCACUGGUUCUUAUGUCAACAUAAAAAAUAUUCUCAAACUUUACCUUUUGUUUUUGUUUUUGUUUUUAAAAUUUACCCAUAUCAUUAAAGCUCAUCUUUCUAAUUGGGGCUUAAGUUAACUUCUAUUAUCUCAUUCACAGUAAAAGCCAGCAUGACCUAUGAGAAAACCUUUAACAAGCUUGUACAUGCACUGAAGCGCUAUAACUCCCAGUUCCUUCACUGACAAGCAUUAACAUCUUUUUCACCUCAUAAGAUCUUAUAACUUCAGCGGUAACUUCCAAUUUUUGCACAAAGAACAACAAAGACCCGAAAUCAAAGUAAAAGCGGCAACUGAAAGUGCCGGCAGGAAUCUGAGGAGAAGUAACAAUUGACCAGUUGGAACACAAAGGACGAUCAUAAAUAUGCUGAUCCUCUUUUCAGUAUUCAAUUGCAUUUACAGAGAGACCAAAGACUACUUCAUGAUAUUUGAACAUACCACAACAAAAACAACCAGAAUCUUUUCUUUUGACAAAAGAAACAAACUGAAGGGGUUUUGUCUUCUAUUUUAUGUAUCAUUAUUUCUCUAAGCAAAAGAUUUUGUUCACAAAAAAAGGGUUGUCUUCCUUUUUCCUCUCUUCUCCCAAUUUUCUAUAAUUUGAUUCAAAUGUUUUUCUUCUCUGGGAGAAAAUAAGGAGGCGUCACAUGGGCCAAUGUUACUAAAACAUAAAAAUUUGGCAACAUCAACCUGGUAACCUUAUCAACAAUAUAUAAGACGUAAAACUUGCAAAAUAAGAAGGUAUACCUUAGCUGAAGACAGUUUGCACAACAAUUCCUCACUUCCUUUGAUGUAGAUGGGGCAAUCCACAGUCUUGGAGUACAAGGUUUCCAAAUCGGAUAACUGUAAAGGAAAUGAAGCAACAAUUAACAAACAUAAGAGAACAGAAUGAGCACCACUUCCAAACCUCAAAUCGGCAACGAUUAUGUACUUUGCUAGAAACCUCAAAGGAAAGAAGAAACAUUUCCAAACAAUCCAAAAAUGUAAAAAGUACGAAAUGACCAGAUGCCAAAUGCAGAUCAAAGGUUCAGAAAGAAGGAACCUUGUUUUUUCCUUCUUUUAUUUUGGGCGUGAAAGGGGAGAAUAAAACUAUAUUAGCCACUAAUGUCAUAACAAAAGCCUGAAAUUAUACCCUAAACUGAACUACAAUUCUCAAAGAGCAGCAUUAGCUCCUAUCAUAUUCUGUUUGAUAAUGCAACACAGCAUUUAUAGAAUAUCAAACCACACUAUACCUAGAAAACUAUCAACAAAGUGAAUGUACAGGCUUACAAGAAUAUUUGAGCAUGAUGAAAGAACAGAAUCGAUCUCCAGAGUCAGCUCGCUUGCCUCUUUCUGGAAAUCCUGUACACAGAGCAUACUUGGAUUAUCAGACCCAGUGCAAAAUUGAAUUGCAUAUAAAGGGAGGGAAAAUAGAAACAAAAUGCAUUUCACCUUCAAUCUGACAUGCGCAGGUUCAUUACAGGGUACGGGGUUUAAACUGAGCAAAUUGUCAACAACUUCCAUCUGCACCUUCACUACACUAUUGUUAUCAGACAUCCAAGAUUUUACUUUCGAGAGAGAGUCCCUGACAUUUUGAGCCCAACUCUGAGCAUCAAUUAACCUCUUCACCAAAUCUCUCACCUAAACCCCAUUUGCAUAUAGAUAUUUAGUUAAAGACAGUUAUAAAAUCUAAGGACUAUUAAGUUAUAGAAAAUGAAAUGGCCGAAAUCUCACUGGAUCCAUUUCAUGACCAGCCCACACAAACUGUUCAGCUUCCUUUAUUGCACGACGAUAAGCAUCUGAAGAAUAAGGAUUCUGGAAAAGCUUGCUGGACUUUAUUAGCCAUUCUUCAGCAAGUUGCAUGUGAGUGAUACAGCCACCCUUAAUCUAGAGUUGGCCAUUGAUUGGAGUCAAUAGAAGUUAGAAGCUAUCCAUUUAUACGUUUACACAAGCCACAUAUUAACAAGAACUAUUUCUUAUCUUAAGACAAUAUACCACACUGUAUCACGAAUAUGCAAGAAACAAACUGCAGAUGUCACAUCUCAAAGUAUCAAGUGACUCAUAAGAUGUAAACAGCUUACUGAGGUAUCAGCCUAUCAAAGUCUAGAAACUUCCCAAACAGAGAAGAAAAGGUUCAAGAAGGAUAUGUCCCAAGACCAUUAGUAUCAUUCGAUCCCAGAUCAUUAAGCUUCUUGACCACUAGAAUCAUUAAGAUAGUUAAGCUUCUUGAUUGACAACUCAGAAGAUAGGGUGUGCGAUAGCGAGAAAAUUAGAAGUGAGAAAGAAAUUUCAGAAAAUUCUAACGUCUUUGACACAAAGUUGUAAACUCUCCAAGGAUAUUGUAUUAGAUGAACAGAUGAUGAAGGAAAAUUGGUAGUAUUAACAUUUCAGAUAUAUAAGAACAGCGCACAAUUGAUUAAACACUGGUAUAGAAUCAUUGAGCAUGUUCUUCCAUCCUAGUAAAUAUUGAUACCAAGAAAUAUAUGUGUUCUACUUCCUAUUAAUAAUGCCAAGCAAGAACCUUCAUUCCCCCACCACACCUCUUUUGACUAAAAACUGAUUACUACAGAUGUGCUAAAAACUUAGGUAUAGAAAUAUCUGCAGCUUGAGUGGUUAGAUGGGAAUAAACAGGUAAUUAGAAAAGCGAGCAAAGAAAUGCAGAACACUGCAUGGAGCCAAAGAGAGGGUCCAAAAAGCAAGUUUUGAUAUUCACUAGGCCAGAAAACAAGGGUAUCAAAUGGAAUAACAAAAACAAGAAAAUUGACCAAAACAAGGUUCUAUAUAAUGAUCAGAACCUUUUUUGACAAAGAAGAUGGAUCAUUGGAUGACAGAAGUUGCCCUCUGAUAUUUUUUGCAGCCUCUUCAUGAUUACUCUUAUCCGUAAUAAGCACCAUAUCAUUCAAUUCAGCGACGGUAUGACGAAAAAGGAGUUGACGUUUUUGUGGCUUACAUUCGCACAGAUGUUCCCAGUGCUGCAAGGAAACCUCAUAUUAAGUCAAGAAAGCAUAAUCAAGCACCAAAACUAUUGACAAAGAACAUAACAGCCCACGACUAAAUAUGGUAGAAGUGCUUAACGAUUACACUCAAUACUGAUUGCAGUAUAGCAGUGCAUUCAGCAGUGAAAUCGCUAAAUACGCCUCAACCCCCCAACAACAACCCACCCCAAAAUCAAAAAGAACUACAUCAUUCAUUUUAGGCUCUGAAAUUGAUAAAUUAAAGCUGCAUAAUGAUGUAAAAAUUGUUAUAUAUUAUAGCACAAUGCUGAGAAUGUCCUCCCUCCUAGAUGCUAAAAUAUGCAACCUACAAGGAAAGAUGAUUUUAUGCAUCUAUGAUCAGCUAAGUUUAGCUUGAAUUUGACCAGAGUACAUUCUAUAGACAGAACUCACAAAAGCAUAAGACAUACAGCCACAGGAAGUGGAGAGAUAAGGAAAACAAUGUAUUUUUCGCACAUAUAAACAAUGCUUACCUCAAGACAAACAAAAGAUGAUGGUGCACAACUGCACGCUACAGCAGAAAGAUACAAAUAUUGCCGGCAUAUGAUGCACGUAGGAUCCUUCAACAAGAUCAGGUAAAAUAUGUGAAAAAACACUUCAGAACACAUUCAUAGUCAAAAAAAUCAAGAAGCAACAUCAAAGUUAAAGUACCUCUUCAGUGCCCACGUAUUCAGGUUUCAUACGAGGCGGCAUGGGAGAAGAAUUGACAAUACCAUUUUUCCAAAGCCGCUCUCUCCAAGACUUUUCUUUAGAAUAGACCCUGACCAAUUCUGUUUUUAAGUAAGGUGCUGCAUUGCUAUCAAAUUCACUCUGCAAGGUGAUGAAAAUUGUUAAAUUGGCAUGAUUAGAAUUUAAAGAUACAUAGAAGCAUGGAAAAGUUAUCUACGAAUACAAAGCAAUGAAAAUAUGAAAACAAAAGUUCAUCAGAAAAAGCACCAUAGCAUAAGUGUCAGUAGAAAACUAAAAAAAUAUAUAAUAAGCAAUGGAAGCGCCAUCUAGCAGCUACGUCACAAAAUUUAGUGCACCAUCCAUUGGUGAUGUGGAAUUAAAGUACUCAAGGGUAAUCCCACCCACUUGGAAAUGAAUCAACAAAUCACAUUUUUUUAAUAACAGCAUCUGGGUACUUGCACCUCGACUAUUCAACAGGGUACCAACUACCUCCCACCAGCACAUGUACUAGUUAACAAGGCUUAGGCGAAUUGGAAGAAAUCACAAUAGCACAAAGAAAGAAUGUGAAAACAUGAGUAACUAGAUAAAUAUCCACCAUAUGAAGCAUGCAAAAGAACAGUCUUCUACAUCUGUGAGCAAAAGACGAAUGAGUAUAACAUUGUCCAUAGCAUACCAUGAAUUUGAGUGGUGGGGUUCCUAAGUAAGGGGUCCCCCCUAUUAUAUUUCUCCUAAUUGGAACCUCCAACAUUUAAAUGGCAAAGGGAACAAAGAGACAAACCCGGGCAACUGCACAGAGAAGCUCUUCAUGAGACAAAACAGCAGCUUUGCGGUAAAGUUGGUAAAGCUCUGCUCCAAAACCACCAUGAGGUAACCAGUCGGCAGGGGCAAAAUUAACAGCCUCGGCACAAUUUAAGCCUGCAAUUUUAAGAUGCAGGUAAGACUACAGGAGGGAGCUGCAUCAUGCAUGACUAAGCAUUUGAAGACGAAAGAACCAUUUGAAGAAGAAAGAUCCAUUCAAAACUUUUUCCAAAUCAGAGAUAAACUAGCAAAAAAUAUGGGCUCACCGCAGUUAAAGCCUCCAUGAUAUGAUCUGGGAAAGGUAAUAAUAAAGUCCCCAGGCUCCUGCAACAAGUACACAAGCAAAUAAAAGCCACAUAAAUGGAAAAUGCAAAACGGGAAAAGCUUAAAAUUCAGUAACUCCUGGAAUGGCAGUCAUGAAGGGGAUCGCAAGUACUGUUUAGGGAAUUGCUCAUCGAGUUCCUGCUUGCUAUUAAAGCCUAAUCAUAAUAUAUUUUUAUAAUUUGUUGAAGAUCUUUGAUCAUUUGAUUGUGAGAUUCAUCAGAAGUUCUUUUCUUUUUCUUUAUUGACAAAAAUAAAAAAUCCUAUUUUGCUUAGUAUCAAGACUAUAACAUUUCUCCCACAUUAUAUUGAUAACAGAGAAAUUUUUAAGGGUCAGGGAAAUACGCUUUAGAAACUCAGUGGAUAAUGGGUGUACCCCGCUACCAUUCUCCAAUUAAAGAUCAAGUUUUUAUUUGCAGCAGGGUUUGAACCUGUGACAUAUGCCAAACACACAUCACACUUUACGUUCUCACCACUAGACCAAAUCCCUAAGGGUGCAUUUCUCCCACAUAUUAGGUACUAUAGACCAGUAAAGGGAUAAGGCAUUGUGUUACUUAUAAUUUAUGGUCCCAAAAUAUGGACCACAGUCGAGAACUAGGCUCCUACAGUAUAGAUCAUGUAAAUAGCAUCCUGGUUGUAUGACGUAGUAUUUAGGCAGUUCCAAGGCUCAAGACAACCAAAUCCUAAUGGGUUUGAGGGAUCCCAAGCACCAUUGACAAGGAAGCAUGGAAGCCAAAACAUAAUAUACAAAACAAAAAGAAGAGAAAAAUGUGGAAGAAUUUUACCAAUUAAAUGGAGGAAUAAAUAAAAGAGAAAACAAGUUUCAAAGAAUAUACCAAAAGUUGUUUUUGCCUUUUUGGAAGUUAAAAAAAAAAAUCAUUCCCAAAAAAGUAUACACUAAGCAUAACAUGUAGUGGUGAAGUAAAGACAAUCCCACAUGUUUAUCACCAACUCAUCCCUCACCAUUUUUGCAAUCUUCAGAUUCAAUUGAACUAAACAGCUUCAGAAAUACCAGUAGAAUCCUAAAAGUAUGACCUCUUUGACAUGUAGCCCUAGAAAAAAAAAAUUAAGCUAAAACUCUUUUUCACAGUGUAUUGGUGUGAUACCCCUUGUAAAUCCUGAUAUUGGACUGCAUCUGUAGUGGAUGGCAUAGGAGUGCUAGCACACUUAUUUUUCUUAUUUCGCUAUUUUGUAGUGUUGUAUCUGGGCCAUGGAAAGAUAAUUGAAGUACCAACUUUCAAUUGAAUACGAUAAACCUACUUUCCUAGUUUGUCCCUAAGCUACAAUAUCUAUAGGAAGUACAUCCUCCUACGUCCUGCCCAUAAAGUUUGGCUCCGUAAAAAAGAAGAGAACUCAUAUGAGAAACUCUCCUUUUCCACUUCCAUAACAGCUUCUCCUUAUUUUCAUGUUCAUCAAUUUACAAAGAGAAAGACUCAAAUGCAGUAUUAUGACAUCCUCCAUGAAUUUGGGGAGAAUUACCAGAAAAAUACAAUGGAAAAAGACAGCAGAACAGAAGGUAGCAAGAUCUGAGUAUCAAGUCCCACAACAAACCUGUAACACUUUAUAAACAGGAACCCCGUUUUCUUGCAACACACGUGGAUUCAGCAUGGUUACAAGCUGAAAUAACAGAUCUGGUUGCGCAUCAAACAGAUCGGGAAGGCUAUUACGCAUUACCUGCACAAAAAUUGCUAGUUAUAGGACAGCUACCAGCUGAGUAAGGCAAAAGAAAACUCAAAAAUUUGAAAUUUUCAAGGGAAAGCUAAAUAUAAAGUGAUAAAACCCAUUAUAAACACUGAUAAAAGUUAAUUGAAAUAGCAAUCAAGUAUUCUUUUAUCACUUCUUUCGCGACUAAAACAGGAAAAUAACUUGCUAUGACGCAAUGUAUCAAGGAACGUGGAAAAGUAAUCUUUUUUUGAACUUGGUAACUUUGUAUUAUAUCACAAAACAACACAUGGGUUGUACUGAAACCUUAUAUACAAGUGUACUCCUAAUUUCACUUCUCUAUGUCUAAAUUGAGUCUAGAACAUCAAUAAUAGAGACAGUGUCAUUUGAGUAUAACUGAUUACACCAAGACACUUAAAGUAAAAUGCAGUUUAUUUUACCUUUCUGCACAUUGUUCACUGUGCUCUCAAAAAAUCUUGAGUUCAUCUCUUUCCAGAUAGCCCACAAUGUAAUAAAAGGAUAUGCAACUAUUCUUAACACUACACAGACACUAAACUUAUACCCAGGGGCGGAGCCAACAUAUUGUUAGGGGUUCAUCCGAAUCCCCUUAAGCGGAAAAUAUUACUAUUUAUACAUGGUUAAAAUUAUUUUUUAUGUAUAUAUAGUAGAUGUCGAACCCCCUUCGUCUAGUUCUUGUGUUUACUUCUUCCAAUUUUGAACCCCUAAUUGAAAAUCCUGGCUCCACCACUGCUUAUACCCUAAUGAAUCGAGAUUAUUAACAUCUUCCAAAGCACCUUCUGGCAAAGCCCUGAAUGUAGGUUAAUCAUGUUAUUGUAUUUAGUCAUCAGGUACCUGUGGGUUUAGCAGGACUCCAGCUAUGCUCUACAUUUAUCAAGUUCACAUGCUAGAAUAACUGACCUUGAACACAUUCAUCUAUACAUGGAAUUACAGGUAAAUUAGAUUACAUUUACUUAUAAUAAAUGAUACAAAUCCAUAAAAUUGAAGAUCCAAAUAGUAUGAAGAAAAACAAUACUUCUCGUGACUCUACACUUGCCUCAGUUUGGUUCAAGUCUCCCAAAAAGCCAUUUGAAAAAAAAACACAAAGCAAUCAUUACACUAAAAUCUCCUAAAAGUCCAACAUUCAACUAUCAAGAACUUGAAUCAACAUGUAUUUGAGCCAAAUUUCCCUUCACAGUAGAGGCGAUCUGUUCUAACUUUACUAGCCCGCAAUUUCCACUAAUACACAGAAGUAAAGUCAAUGACACUAAUACAGGACAAGAAGUAUUUAUUGAAUAACCUUCUCAAAAGCUUGGGCUUCACUUCCAGGAACGCUAUACCAACAUUUUGGCUCUCCCCUGAAAGGAAGCAAGAAGAACUCAUUAACUGAUAAAUUUAUCAGGAUUCUUUAAAUGAACAUCAAGAUACUGGUCAUGCACAAGAUUUUUAAAAAAAAAAAAAACGUCAAAAUAACAUCAUCAGAUCAAUCAGGUGAUUGCAGAAGAGAUACCAGAGGGAAAUGCAAACGAAGACAAGAUGCACAAACUCACACAUGUUAAUAAGACAUUUCCAACUAAAUUAACAAUAUGCCUAAAGGAAAACCCCAAGAAGUGUUGCCUGAUAAACUUGGUAUGCUGUCAACAAGUACUUCAAAUUAUUUCUUCAACUAUUGCUUAUCAUGCUAUUCAAUGUUAUAUGAAGGAGUAGAUAGACGACGUUAUUCUAUUUUAUAAGAACAAUGAAAUAUUUGAAGCUGUGGACCUAAAACCGCUUAAAAUUCACAUGGACUUAGCAAGGAAUAGAACACAAUGGAAGCAAUGUAUCCAUAUGAGUUAUACAAACUAGUUAGGACAAAAGUCUAGUUGUUGUUGAUAUCAUUAGUUAGUAAAAGCUAUAUGUCUACUGUGAGAAAGAAUCCCUAGUAUUAGAGAGCUAGUUUGUCCUAACAGACAAAUUCUUGAAUAUUAAAAUGAAAAAGGCCCAAAUGAAGUGUAUGGUUAUUGAGGUUUCAAAUAGUUGAUCCCAACAAUUUCGGGUUGAGGUAUAGUCAUUCUUGUAAUUGAACUUCAAUAACCAAUGAACUAUGAAAUAUAGGUGUGUGCAUGUGUGUGACUUUGGGGGAGGGUGCAGAAGGGUAAAGGAAAGCUCCACUCGGUUGGUUAGAAAGUGAUCACAUCACAGUUUACAGAAGGAAAAGGUUACUAGAAAAGAAGAGCAAGGCUAUAUAACCUGUUUCACCUUUAAUCAUACUUUUUUUUGGAUUUACAGGGUCUUGUUAGGAAUUUUUUUUAUUUUAUUUGUGUGUGUGUGUGUGUGUGUUGGGGGGGGGGGGUGGGGGUUUGAUGAUNNNNNNNNNNNNNNNNNNNNNNNNNNNNNNNNNNNNNNNNNNNNNNNNNNNNNNNNNNNNNNNNNNNNNNNNNNNNNNNNNNNNNNNNNNNNNNNNNNNNNNNNNNNNNNNNNNNNNNNNNNNNNNNNNNNNNNNNNNNNNNNNNNNNNNNNNNNNNNNNNNNNNNNNNNNNNNNNNNNNNNNNNNNNNNNNNNNNNNNNNNNNNNNNNNNNNNNNNNNNNNNNNNNNNNNNNNNNNNNNNNNNNNNNNNNNNNNNNNNNNNNNNNNNNNNNNNNNNNNNNNNNNNNNNNNNNNNNNNNNNNNNNNNNNNNNNNNNNNNNNNNNNNNNNNNNNNNNNNNNNNNNNNNNNNNNNNNNNNNNNNNNNNNNNNNNNNNNNNNNNNNNNNNNNNNNNNNNNNNNNNNNNNNNNNNNNNNNNNNNNNNNNNNNNNNNNNNNNNNNNNNNNNNNNNNNNNNNNNNNNNNNNNNNNNNNNNNNNNNNNNNNNNNNNNNNNNNNNNNNNNNNNNNNNNNNNNNNNNNNNNNNNNNNNNNNNNNNNNNNNNNNNNNNNNNNNNNNNNGGAUAUCAACUGGUUAAUGGGAGAUGACAAAACGGUAGGCAUCUAUAGAUGUACUAGCAUUUUCGAGAAGUAAUUUAGAAUCUCUAUUCUCAUUGACCACACGUACAAGCUACUAAUAAAGGUGUAGAUUACACUUUUCAUAAUUUACAAACAGCCUAUUCUGCAGAAAGAACGAGAUAAGCUUCAUGGAUUAGGUAUUAUAAAACAUUUGAGCAGAAGAGGAGGAGGAUACAAGUGAUGAAGCUGCCAGUGAGCUAGCAACCUAAGCAAGACCAUGAAUAAAGAUUCAUGCCCCAAGGGCUCAAUUAAGUAGCAAAGGUUGAGGAACUUGUAAUUUAGGUCACAAGUUUGAGCCCUACACUAUGUGAACUAAGCCUAGUAUCUAAUGGAGAAGGAUACAGUGGUGGACCCAUUAUCCCAAGUUUUGAAGUUUGCAGUUGGUCCUAAGGGUUGGCGGCACCAGACGAAUUUCUCGGUCACUAAAAAAACUAAGAAAGACCAUGAACCUACAUCAGCCAAAUACAGUUGAAUAGGACCUCAUGAAAGCAAAAUCAUAGAUGGUGAAAACCUAAUAGACAAUAUUAAGCAGAUUUUAUGAAGAACAUUUGUAAGAUUUGGACAUAUGACCAACAUGCCAAAUCUCUAGCCUUAAUAGGGAAGGCAUAUCAAAUCACAUUAGGCAACAAUGCAAAGAAACAAAUAUCAAGAUUCAACUGCAAAAAAGUAUCAGAAAGAAGUUCCAUAGCAUCACAACUAAACAAAUAAACUUAUCUUUUAUUGCAUGCACAUGUAAAUUACAUGAAACUACUGGUUAGAUAGAAGUAUGUGACAUUUCUCUGAGUGAUUGUAUGUCAUUUAAUGAAACGAACUUAUUCUUUUCCAAAUCAAUAGCAAACCUUCUAAGCAGAUCUUAUUCUAUUGUUUGUCUGGUAUAAAAUCUAAAGAUUCUGAAAUGUAUUCAUUUUGCUAUCAUGUUGACUUUCAGUAGAAGUGAAAGAAGAGUUUUUUUUUUGUAUGACGUAAAUAAUUCUAUAAAUCUUAGCAAGCCUGAUACAAAGAAGUAGAGAAAUUUCAUAAUAAUAUCUUACCAUGUAGCCAUUUAUUUUGUGGGAACAAAAAAAUUGACUUAAGAUUAAAAAAAAAAUAAUAACUAUAAUAAUUGGCUAUCGUACCAGUGAUGAUAAUUCAUGGAGUAAAAGCAGUGGUCUUCAAAAUGCCAGCAGAAUGAAGAGAAUAGCAUUCCAAUAUACAGCCAAGGCACCAUAACACCAGCAAUGCUAUGAUGUACAGCUCGAAGCAUCGAACCUGGCAGCUUGGGUAAGUUAUUGAGGUUCCAAGGGCUAGCACAAUAUUCAUCCCAUGUACCUGGUUCAACUGAUGAUGGCUUUUCAUCGGUUAGACGUGGAAAUCCACUACCAUAGAUGGAAGUAUCCAAGUCACUGCCAUAUUUCACUUCAACCUCCCCAGCUGAUCCCUCCACAAUUUCCCAGAACUUCUUCUCCAAUUGCACCUGUGAAAUUGAUGUGGAACCAAACCACUUUUUCUUGGCACGAUCAGCAAUGCGCCUAAAUGCAUCCAAUGGCAACUCUCUGCCAGGUGCGAAACCAAAGCUAUCCUUUUCAGAAUUCAAGCAUUGCAAGCAAUACCAGUUCCCGGGUGGAACUUGUUCCAGAGGAGGUGAUAAACAGAACAUAUGCCAUCCCUUGUUGCACCGAUCACAGAGAAGCAUCACCUCCCCAUGCAAUCCACUUUUGCAUUGCUCACAUAUUUGAUCGUGUUCUUCCUCCUUCGCCUUACAUGUUUCAGUUCGAUCACCCUCACUGUUCUUUCUCCUUCUCUUACUACUUGAGGAUGGGGAGUCUGACUCCCUUUUUCUCUCACUUUGGUUUCCUCUCCUGCAACUUCUAUUUCCCAGCUUAUUUAACUUAUUAUAGUACUCUUCAUAAUCAUACAAAUGUUCCAGAUACAAUUGAAAUAAUACAUGCUUGGCGCACUCCGAAAUCUUCCCAGCAGGACGAACAAACCUAAAAACCUCACCCCACUUCUUCUCCUUCACCACUUUAUCAUACCCUCCAAACCGCUUAACAAAAUUAUACAACUUGCACAAAUCAAGGUCCUCUCCCUCAAACACAAUACGUUUUUUUGCCUUCUUCCCACAAUGAUCCUCUAAGAACCUAUUGUAUUCCAACUCAAACGUCUUCGGAUCACAAGACGCACACCGAGACUGUAACUGAUGAAUAGCUUGUGUUUUUGUCGGAAAUGUGAAAGUAUUCAAAUCCAAUGCAUAAGGGGGUUUCCAACUCUUAGGUGGAACAAUUUUACAAAUACCAUAUUUCUCAGCCUCUGGCCUGAUCUUGUAAAUAAACUCUAAAGGGUCCUUAAAUUCAUCCUCAGUUGGAUAAUAUACUGGCCCUGGUGGUAUAUUCAAUAACCCACUUGGGGAUGCACUUGUAUUUUGCCCUAACACCCCUUUCUCUACAGCCCUAGGUCUCCCUCUCCCCAUUAAUGUUAAACUACUAUAUCAUCAAGAUUAUCAAUACCCAAUAACAAAAUCUGCAGGAAAGAUUCAUACAAACAUUCAUAUAUGCCUCAAAUCGCUUAAAAAUUCAAGAUUCUUGAAAUGUAAAGGUACAAAAACUAUUAAAAAUGAAAUCUUUAACAUACCUUAGAAUAAAGAAAGCAUAAAAAUUGAGUCUUGAUAGAUUCUUGUCCCUCAAAUUGAAGAAAAAAAAACUCUCUUUCCCAACGUGGGUGUGUUUUAGUGUUUAGAUAUCUCUUGUUGUGUAUUUGUUAGUCUUCUUUUGGCUUUUUUCUUCUUCCUUUUUAUUUUAUUUUUUAUUUUAUUGCUUUUUUAGGUUAGUUUUUUUGCAGGUUUUGUGGGAACUGGGAUUUUUAUAAAAAGGUCUAAAUUUCAGAAAUAUUACGACAGUGUUUUAAGGAAUCUAUGGGACUCGAAGAAUCUAAAGAGCCUGAGGUCACGGAUUUGGUUGAUUAAGCAAAAGAAAAGUAAAGAAUUAGGGGUCGGUUGGUACGAGGAAUACAAAUAUUGAUGUCUCGAUAAAUCCGACAGUUUAAAUGAAAAGUAAUUUUUAUUUAAAACAAAUCAUAUUAGGUUCGACCCUUGAGAUUGGGAAUGGAUAUUGUUUUUUGUUAGGAGUUCAUCUGAAUUUAUAACUCUAAAUUUAUAAAAUAUAUGAAAUAUUAUAUAGAUGAAGUUAUAAUUUUAACAAGACAUUGAAAAUACUAGGAGUACAAUAUUAAGAAGCUUAAAAUUGAAUUCAUUAAUAUGGGUGACAUGACCUUGAAUGAGAAAGUACGGAGGUCAAAAAUUAGGAUAGAAAAGUUAGUUGGCAAUUGAACGUUUUCUUCUUUUCAUGCAGGAGGGUUUGGUGAUCGUACUUUGAUCUUCUUUCUUAUUAAUGGUAUUAGUACUAUACUCAUAGUUUCUUAUUCUUCAUAUUCGAUUAUCACAUGUGUUUUUUUUAAAAAUUCAAAAUCAAAGUAUUUUGUUGUCACUAAUGUUCAAACAUUUAUAUAUUAUGUAGUACUCAUCAUUUCACACUAUUUUGUUGUUAUUACAACUCUCGUUUGGGUUCUUUCUUUUUCAAAUUACUUGAAAAUGCUCUAUUUUAAGUCAAUGAUAUGUCAGAAACAAUAUUUUUGUUUAGUUCAUGAAAUGUGGGUAAGAUCUGAGUAUAUUAUUGCCAUCUCCAGACCUCACGUAUGGAAUUACACUAAAUAUAUUACAGUUAUUGUUAUUUUAAACUAUAUGUGCUCAAGAUCAUUGAUUAAAAAUAGAUAAAUUUUAUUCAUUCCAAUUUAACCUUGUGUGAUAAACUUUACCAAAUCAUUAUAAUAUCAAGUUUUUCCUUUUUUUCAAAUUUUCCCCAAUCAUAUUAGAAUUUAAAUAUGUAGUUUUUUUGGGUACACUUUACAAGUAGUGAAACAAAAAUAAUUUCUCACCAUACAUAGUUGAAUCAAUAAUUGUUUAAUAUUUCUCAAUAAAUAAUUCUACGUUACCGUAAAUAUAUAAGGUAAUACAUGUCAUUAUCUUUAACAAAAAGAAAAAGAAAGUUUUCCACCCACUAUUGAGUAAUCGUUCAUUAAGGUCCAACAAAAUUCAGAUUCUCGCUGAAAAUUCUUUAUUGAAAGAUAAAACGUUCCUUAAUAAAAACGACUCUAUAUCUAGAAGGACUUGAAUCCAAUCUUUUAAUAUUCAAAUAAUGACAGAGACUUAAAUUUUAAUAUUGAUAUGUACAUAACUUUAUUUUUAUUGAUCUUUUAAAGGCAGAAGUAUUAUUUUUGACAAAUGAUUCAAGUAAAAUAUAUUUAUGACAUUCAACUACCUACUAAUCUUCUACUCUGAUUUUCAAUUGUAUUUUUUUCUUAUAAUUACGCCUCUCUAGAAGCUUCCACCUUUUCGCUUCCUUGAUGAAUCGAACUCAUAAUCGUAAGAUUUAAGACUGAAUAUUAAAAAUAUUUACCAUCUGAACAAUCUUCUUCUCGAUUUCAAAAUAUAAUUUUGUCAUUUUUUUCCAACAUCAAGUCAAGUCCAAGUCAAUGUUGAUUUAUUUAUUGACUUCUUACUUCUUAGUUAAGAAUAAGAUUUUGGCGUGUUGGCACGCUCUUGACGAGCGCGUAUAGUAGUUAUAUAAUUGGGGUUUAAUUGUGGAUAAAACUGUCUAGGGCUUUUCGCUGAUUGGCCCGUGGUUUUCUUGACCCGGAAGGAAAAAACAGUGGGCUAUAUAAAAAGGGAAAGCUUCUUGGGCCCAUAUGAACUUUUUGGGCCCAACCAUAUACACUGAUUCAAUUUCUCUAAAAGAGCCUAUUUUUUCGAAUAAUUGUGGUGUUUGGAUUAGCUUUGUCUGUUUUUAACUAUGUUACUAAGUUAGCUUCCAGGCACCUCGACUAUUUCACUAGACUCUUGCUACCCUUUCCACUAACUUCACAAGAGUCCACUUAUAUCAUGUUCCAUCAUGUAUUUGCUAUCUUCCACCAGCUUCACAAGAGUCUAAUUAUAUCGCGGUGGUGUCGGAUUAGCUUAAGUAUAUCUCAACUAUUUCACUAGAUACCGACUAUCUUCCACCAACUUCACAAGAGCCUACUUAUGUUCAUGGAGGUGUCAAGAUAGCUUCCACGUACUUGUUACCCUUCCACCAGCUUCAUAGGAGCCUACUUAUAUUUAUAGAGGUAUCGAGUUAGCUUUCAUGUACCUUAAUUAUUCCGCCACUGGUUACGUGAUAAUUUUCACAAGAACCUACUCAUAUCCUAAUGGUUCAUCUUCGUGUCAUCCCCUCAGCUUAGUUCCUAUUUCGUCAUUAACAUUCAUAGAGAUGCUAUUUUGCAGCCCACAGGUAGCAGCUAAAAAGUCUUGUAUUGAUACACCACUUCAAUCCUGACAUUAUCUUGUUAAGCAAUAUGAAUUUUUAACCAUGGAUAAGCAGUGAGCAUAAGGUUUGCGUAUACACCACCCUCCCCUCACUCAUCAUAGGAUAACGCCGGGUAUGUUGUUGUUUGGAUAAGGCUGAACCUCAUGCAUCAGAUACUCUAUGUUGCAACUAGCACUGUUGCAAAUGUAGCUGCUACCUGUGGGCUGCUGUAAUAACAAUAAUGCAGUAUCUACCUGAUAAAAUUACAGAACACUUUGCUGCUAAAUAGGCAUUAGACGCCGCGGUGCGUCACUGUGUGGGUGGGUGUGAGUGAGAGGGGAGAGGGGGAAGAAACAAUCUAAGCAGAAACAAGUAAAGUUGGUCAGCCAAGAUUCAUUUAUUACUUUAGCAUUGCUAUGUUACUUUUCUGGGGAAAAUGUAUGUCCCAGUGUAUACAAAUGCUAUCUGGAACCAGAUUGAUCACAUCCAAGGGGAGAGCUACAUAUGACGUUUUCGAGACGUAGAUACAUGUAACAUAUCUUAAUCUAGCUAGCUAGAUUAUUUGUCUAACGAUGGGCAAAAUCGGCUGAUAUAACUCUCAAAAAGAAAUUGAGAAAUCAUUUACAACACAGGAAAAAGACAGAAUUGAAAUGGCACUCUCAAACAACUUCAAUAGAGAAGCUCCUCAAAGAUAGGAUCCACACUCUGUCCCCACUUCCCAUGGUACAAUUCCAGUAGCUUCUCAGCUGGUGUUACACCUACCAGAAGUACAAAGAACAGUUCAAUUGAAAUUCUAAACGGCUCUAGCAGUUAAAUAAUGUAUUAUCAUUUGAUAUUGUGUUGUAUCCAGAGAACAAGUAAAGAGAUACUAACACAAGUCCAAAAAGACAAUUUCAACCAAAACGUCGUUACUUACCUGUUUUGACAACCUCGGUUACUUCAUUCAAAAAUCCUGUUUCCUUAAAGCCUCUUCUUUCUAAGCCUUCCUGAAGAUCAGAAAGCAACUAACAAGUUAGUAAACAUGUAGAAAUAUACCAAGCCAUGGAGCAUUAGAAGCUUUAACCCACCUUUGCCAACUUGACAACAUCUUGAGCAACAUGCAUAAGCAAUCCAUCUCGAAAUGGUGUCUUCAGACCACUUUUUGGCACCUACUAAAUGGGGUGAUAUUAGUCAUCUCCAAUAUUGCGUAUAAGUUAUUAACGACAAAUCUGAGGAACUGAAAAUUAUAGCUUAACGAAAAGCAACUGUUUUUUUCUUAGAUGAAGAGUUCAUGGUCACACUGCCCCAUUUUGUUUCUGAAUGAUUUUGCUUGUCCAAGUUCCGCAAGGAGAAGAGCAAAGCAAGUAUAUUUUAAUACAGAUAGGAUUUCAGAGUUCAUAAAAAUAAAGUAUUUACAGUUUCUCUUUACCCAAGCAUGAACAUAUGGACCAUUUCCAACACACAACAUUGAAAUCAUCAACAAGAUAAAGAAUAGAAAAAUGAAUAGAGACUCUACAAUAAGACAACUGGAUGCUUUCUCAUUUUCUCUUGACAAAUUCUGAAGUUCAAAUUUGACAUCACGAGAAGAUGACAAAAAAAAACAGAAAAAAAGAAGAAGGAGAAGGAAUUGUUACAUGACAAUAAAACAUAGAGAAUAGCACCACAGAGCAGAUAUAUCAGCAGCCUUGGAUACAUUAACUAAUUACAGAUUAGGUAGGAAAUGCUUGAUAAUCUUUAAUGAGUAAGGAUAUAUUACCUUAUUCCUCAACAUGUCUCUUUCUUCCGCAGUCCAAUCAGACGUCAUGUCUAAAACACUUUGCAAAGACCCCUCAUCGUAGAGUAUACCCACCUGAAAGAAAAAAGAAGGAAAAAAGAAGAUGACUGAGCUGUUUGGUUCAAAGUAGCCCACAACAAACUUUGGAAGUGUCCCAACAAACAGGAGAAAGAGUAAGAAGCUCCUCUCAGUGGGAGGUGAGGUGAGCACAACCAUAUUCUAUUCUCCCUUUCCCUGUUGCUUUACCGAGUAAUACUUGCUUUUUGUUUCCUUCUUUUACAAAAAAACAACAUCAUAAAUCCUAGAGAAACAGAUUUCAUACCCAGAAUGCAGGCAAUGCACAUAACCGUCUCCAAGGCCCUCCAUCAGCACCCCUCAUUUCCAGAUAUCUUUUGAGUCUGACCUGAUAAAGUUAACCCGAGUUCAUACUUCCAUAACCAUACAUAGACAAACCAGUAGUAAAGGACAUUUUCUUGGAUGAAGCUUGCAUACCUCAGGAAAUAUUGUUGUGAGAUGAUUCUCCCAAUCAUUAAGAGUAGGAUAUUCGCCGGGAAUAGGCGGAAGUUUUCCAUUCAUGAAGUCCUGCAGCAAUGUUGUUAAAUAAGCACAAGAGAGUGACAUUUAUAAAUCUGUUAUGGUUAUAAAUAACAUACCCGGAAAGACAAUCCAGAACAAUCAACAUACUUCUUCUUCCGAUAGACAAAAUACAUAGGGACGUCAAGUGCAUAAUCCACAUACUGCUCAAACCUGUGUCCAUUAGAAAAGAAAAUGUUUGCUGUGAAAAUGAAAUUUAACAAUGGAAGUUCUGAAGAUGACAAAGAAUGAAUUCUGUUAACACUAAAUACAUAUUCAUUUGAUUCCUAACCCAUCACAUAACUCUGUUGACAAACCUCAAAACAGGUUAGGACAGCCCAUCUCGAACUCCAACAAAUCUUAUCCAUUUCCCUAACCUAGCUCAUAUAUAAUGUACGACAAGUACAUUCACCGUGAAAUACAUUAAACAAAAGGACCAUGCGCUUAAAAGUACAAGGAAACACGUUUUUUCUGACAAGUCAAGAAGCCUUUUAAAAGAUGACCAUCCCACAGAAGCCUUAGGUAACAAAAAGAUGAAUACACGAUUCCAGCUAAAAAUCAUAGUGUGAAGGCAUAAAUGCCCGAUAUGAACCUCAACUCAGCAUUCAAAAGAAGUGAGGUUGAUUGCUAGUAAACAAGAAUGUCUCCUUCAUGUGGUCACAUGUACUAUAUAAUUAUGAACCAGCGCAACAUAUGUGGUUAAAUAGUAUAAGUUGAAUUACCCUUGUCGUUUUAAGUAAAAAGGUUGAAUUGUUUCUUCACUUUUUCAAAACAAUCAGGUUAGACAUGAGUUGUUUAAGGCAUUCAUUUACAAAUACCACAAGAAAAAGAAAAUGUUAAUAUGAUUCCUACUGCCCCUACCAUUUGCCCUCCAACUUUAACAAACGUAAUCUCGACUGAAGAAAGAAAAUAAUAUGUCACGAUCAAAGAAACUAUAACUAUUUGCCAAAACAGGAGAGCUUACCCAAAAGAGUCAUCAAAGACGAAAGGAAGCAUCCCAGCGCGGUUAUUAUCUGUAUCAGUCCAAAUGUGGCUGGUGAAACAAACAAAAAUUUGUUAUGUACAACUUCGAUUAUAGUCCUCAGAGAAACAAGAAUUAUAUUUUUAAACACAUGCCUUCUCUUGCUGAGAUAACCAUUAGGUUUUCCUUCAGUGAAAGGCGAAUUUGCAAAUAGAGCUGUAGCAAUCUGUUUCAUUAUAUAGUUAGAUAACUACAUAACUUUCAUGUAGAAAGAGAAAGGACAGAAAGGACAAAGGUACCAUACAGGCUGCAAGGCAAGACCAGCACGAAACUUUCUGAUCAUGUCAGCUUCAGAACUAAAGUCCAGAUUUACCUGUCAACAACAUAUUCGUAAAUAUUUUUUCAACUUACUAAUGAAUGUUACCACGCAGGGCAUGACGUGGAGCCCAGACACAAAUGGGCAAAAAAAAAAGAAUUGAAUAUAGCUUUUGAAUGCUGCACAGGGGUAUGCACUCCAAUAGUCAAGGGGCAAUGGCAUCCCAUCAAACUGGAACGAAAUCAAAAGAAAAAAAAUUAAACCAUUGAGCUUACCUGAACAGUGCAUGUUCUAAACAUCAUAUCCAGCCCAAGUGAGCCAACUUUAGGCAUGUAAUUUCUCAUAAUCUCAUAUCUCCCCUGAGUCAAAGUACUUUGUCAGUAGAAAUACCAGCUGAUCGCAGAUCUAAGAGGUCAAAUCAUACUUGAAAAAAGUAAGAAAUAGAUAUAUCUUUCAAAGCUAGAAGAACACAUGACAACACACAUAAUAUUGAUGUGUGAGAAGCACAUGAUGCUGUAUAUAGUAUAGAAUAUGAAUAGAGGUAGAUGGUGCAAAUAUUAUUUUUAAAUUACAGCUGCAAAUCAAAAUAACAUACCAUAAUUCUGGCUUAGUUAAAAGUAAAUAAGUAAAGAACAUAAAAGAAACAAGUGGGGGGAAACUAUUUGCAUUUCUAAAUUGUGAAGACUCUGUGGGAAAAAAGGUACGCAAGAUCUAUUAAUAAUUUCCAGUUAUUGGAAAUAAUUACUAGAUCUGGUACAAGGAUCAGGUUUAGCAUUCACUUACUGUCAAAUCGUAGUUUUCUUUUUGAUCAGGAAAAGAAAAAGAAAGAUAAAUAUUUUUAUCUUCGAGUUGACAGUAAGAGAAUAGUACAGCAACUAAAAGAUUUUUUUUAGCUUUCUUUUGUUCUUUCUUCUUCAUCCUUUUUAUUAAGUCCGUAAGAGAAGAGUCGAAGAAGUGGGGAUUAUUAAUCUAGAUUAGCCUAAUGGAGAUGAUGAAUGAUUAGCUCAAAAGGAAAGAAUUAAAGUUCUACACCUUUAUUUACUUGUUCUCUGUGUCUUUUAGAGAAGAAAUAAGAUGUGGGACAAGCAACAUCUGAACCAUCAAUCUGAAUAACUAAUCAUUAGAACAAUAUCUCAUCUGUCAUCUCUUCGGCUCCUAGAAAUAUCAACGAUGAUUAGACACAAAAGGACUUAUUCAUCAUUUUCAUGAUCGGAAGGAGGAUUAGAAAGAAAUUUCACUUCAAAAAUAACUAUGCGAAAUAGACAUGUCUGGUAAGGUUUGUAGGUAAAAAGAUGAGGUGUUGCAAAGCGAUGAAAUCAGAGAGAAUGAGCUUCGGGCUACACUAGUUUCAUCAAAUAAUAAUGAAAAAUGAAAUUACAAUAGACACGGGAUUCUACUGCACUUGACAUGCUGAACCAAUAUGUGAAAUGGUCGUGUACAAAAAAAUUAACAUCUUUUCACUGUUAAAAUAGCAGUCUCAAAGAGAUAAGAUGCUAAGUUACCAACACACAAAACAAAUCUUUUGGUUACAACAUCGAUCAGCAUAUUGUUUUUAGUUUUUUACCUUCGGCAUUAUUGGUAUAUCUUUCAGCCCCCACUUUGGCUGGAAUCCAGUUCCUAAGAAUCCAAUUCCCAUCUCUUCUGCAACAGCUUUAACCUGUACCAUUAAACGAAAACUAUUACAUAUCAGCAAAACUUAAAUUUUAUCCGUGCAGAUUUCUCCUGGGGUUGGGGGGAGAAAGGGCCUACGUCCUUUGCAAGCAUACUAGACGGGCACAUACUGUGAGAAAGUUCAAAAAAUUGAAGAUCAAAGGACAGGAGUAUGCUCCUUAUUGUCUUCCAAAAGGACCUCAAAAGGUAGUUAAGACAAUCUAAGGGCCCGUUUCGCCAUGCAAUAUGGUAUCAUGAUAUGAUAUCAUAAUUUCAGAACAUAAAUUGUAGUGUACUAGUCUUUAAUAUAAUACUCCCACAUAGUACGGACAAUUUCCUCACGUUGAACUUGCAUUUCUCGAUCAUGUGACCGAGAAGACGAACCAACAUUGUUACUUUGAGUUGUAAUAAAUACAAAACGGUAGAAGUAAUAAAUUAGGUGUUGGAGUAAAUGAAGAGGGCAAAUUUAUUACUCAACAAUCGGUUGGUGUGAGUUAAAGUGACUAUAUGUUGGUGAGAAAAAUAAAUUUUAUGUCGGUGAGAAUAAUAAAUUUUCAAAAGUAAUAUGAUGUGAUUAUAAAUUUUAUUUACAUAUGAAAUAAAUUGUUAGUAGAUAUAAACAUGGGGUAGUUUUAACAAAAUAUAAACUUGUGGAUCAAUUUUUGUAUUAAAAAUAUCUCAAAUCAUGAUAUGGAAUUCCCAUAUCAUGGUUUUUGGAGAAUAUGGAAUCACAUCUCAUGAUAUGGAAUCAUGAGAUGGAAUCAGCAUAACAUCGCAUGUCCAAACGCUGAUUCCAUCUCACGAUUCCAUAUCGUGAUAUGGUAUCGCAUGGCCAAACGCCUACUAAGAAACCAGAUUUGAAGAAAAGUCUCUUGGAAACUUAAGAGAUCUAUUUUGUCGUGUAUAUGUGUUUCGGAGUAAAGAUUUUUUUUUUUUGUAUAUAUAUGAUAUUUGAAACCAUGAUCGUUGUACAGAUGCAUGGUGCUUAGUAGUAAUAUAAUACCUUGAUGUAUUAAUAGAAAAAAAUAAACAAAUGAACCUUCAUGAUCAGAGAAACACAAUGUCAAACUCCCUUAAAGUUGACCCCCAAGCUCAUUUGCAGUUUCAACAAUGUUAGACUAACACAACAGUUAUGUUUAUCAAUGUGUUAAAGGGAAAUGUUCAUACACUUAACAAAGCAAGGAAAACAAGAGAUAUGAGACCAAGAAGCUCCAAGAGAAUACGUGGAACCCUUCUUUUGGAUAGUUGCUUGGGUAAGGUUGAGGUAGAUAAAACAAAUUUCAAAGCUGAGAUGAAUAGCUUCUGUUUUGUUGCCUCCAAAUGUUCAUUGACAAGACAGUUAGGAAGUCAUAACUUUACUUUCACCCCAACAAUGUUCUUUUGCAGCAAGAUUUUCUUAUACAACUCGAGACUCUGAUCAGAAGUACCAGAAUACUGGGUAAAGAAUCCCUAGUGUAAUAAGUCAUCAACCACCUGAAGCAAAAAUGGCCAACACAUUUGCAGGAUUUCUCCAACUUAAAAAAUUAAGAUUCCCUUUUAUUCCAACCAAGUUAUCGCAUAAUUAAAGUUCGCUUACAUGUCCCCAGUGCAGAUUGUAGUUAGAAAGAUCUUAAUUGCCCACUAUUUCAUUAAAAAGGAAAUUGAUGGAGUUUCAAAAGUACAAACCUGGUAAAGAUGUGAAUUAACCUCUGCACAAGUUUGAUGCAGUGUUUCAACUGGUGCACCACUAAGUUCAAACUGACCACCAGGUUCCAAUGAUAUGCUUUGCUUUCCCUGUGCAAAGGCAGUGCAAAUUUAUCCACCAAUUAUGCUAAAGUAAAUUACUACUUACUUGAGAUCAAAAUGAAUUAGGAAAUUAUGAUUCUAUUCAUGCUAAGUUGCAUAAUAUAUUGUAUGGAGCCAUGACGAAUUCAGCCUAGAAUAUAUUAAACCAAAGUUAGCAUGCACCAAGUUCACGUUCUACCUGUUUCAGGCCAAUAAUCUUGUCACCCUCCAUUACUUUUUCCCAGUCAAACCGCUCGGCAAUACCAUUUAGUAAGUCAGCUAUUUGAUCAUACUUCAUGGGUCGCAGAGUUCCAAACUCGAAACCAAACUUUUCAUGUUCAGUGCCUAUCCUGCUCAUCGAGUUUUGAGAGAACAAGAAAAGUUGAACUGAUUAAUAUGGUCUAGAUCCAGACACACAGUUAAGUAAAACAAACUAUCCAAAUUAUGUGUGAGGCAGAAUCCUAGUUACCACAUUUAUGCAAAAAUACCUGAUCCAGGAAUGUCUCUCAAACUCCAUGUUCAAAAUUUUUAUUACCGAAAUUUCAACAAUUCAAAAUUUGCAAGAAAAUUAGAGGCAGCAGUGUCCUAGGAAAUAGAUUAAUGUUUCCAGUGUUCAAGUUUAUGCAAAAAUACCUGAUCCAGGAAUGGCUCUCAAACUCCAUGUUCAAAAUUUUUAUUACCGAAAUUUCAACAAUUCAAAAUUUGCAAGAAAAUUAGAGACAGCAGUGUCCUAGGAAUUAGAUUAAUGUUUCCAGUGUUCAAGUUUCCCAAAUGAUACAACUUGUUAGUUCAAUGAAAAAGAAUUGCAUCAUGUCCUAAUUCCCUAGUAUCCACAUCUUGAAUGCAUGACGGUGAGAAUUUAACCAUGAUAUUUAUAUUUUUUAGAAAUAGAAAAUGAAAACUAACCAGAAUAAUGACAUAUAAAAAGUAUAUAAUACAUUUACCGUAGCAUACACUACAACAGAAGCCGAAGAAAGAAUAACUGCAUAAAAAAUAGCAGUAUAAUAAAAAUACACAAGCGAUGUGGAUUGAUUCAUGAAUUACUCAACAUACUUGAAAGACAAUCAAGGCAUAUAUGUGGUGAAUGAAUUCUACUUAUAAAGGCCAAACGAGAGGAUGAAUAUCAUCUUCUUGCUGAACUAUAUGCAACUGAAAUUUAAGAACACUAAGAAAAGUUUAACUUCGAACCUCCAUUUUUCUUUGGUUUUGCAUCCAGAAGCAAGAUAUCCUACAAGAUCUUCUUUUGUUAACGGCUCUGCUGCAACAACAGCAUCCUCUGUUGGAGGACUUGCAGCAACAAUUGUCAGGCCUCCACGUCUACUUCCCACUCCUAUGAGAUUCAAAUGAUUCCCUUGCACUCGUCUUGAGGCAUUCCGUGAAGAAAUAUCCACGCCAAAGCAUAUCUCCCUCAUUUUGAACAUCUCCAUAUUGUUCAUGAUGUUGCUAUGUCCACCGAUACAUCUUAUCUUUUCAGAGUAAAUGCAAUGUGAAGAACCUGCCUGAGACAUCAAGGCCAUGCUUUGUGCCUGAAUAUCACAGGAAAAACUGAUGUCAACCACUUUUAACAAGAAUGUCAUACCAUUCGAGUGAAAAAGGAAUUCAGAUUAUUGUUUAACUUGUGUAUAACAUUAGUAACAGAAGAGGAUAAUUCAAUAAUGAUUGAAGAGUACUUUUGAUGGGAAACAUCAAUGAACCUCUCGUGCCUUGGUUGAGCAUAGUUGUACACCAAUUGAAUAGGGCCAACCCAACUACCCAGAAGGCUCAAUCACCAAUCCGAACAAAUAUUAAAGUUAAUUAAUGUAUACUAUAGAAGCAACAUAAGAUUCGAAUCGCAAUAAUCUAGAAAUUUUCAUUCAGUGAUCUACAAUUUUACAUACUGUAAACUCCCCCACCCCACCCCCAUCUCAUCCCAUAUCGAAACACAGCUACAAUAUAGAAAAUGUGGCUUGAUAUUGCUAUCGUGCAUCAAUUAUACCUGAAUCCCAAACCAUCAAAUGCAAUCUUACACAAUGCCAUUUCACUCAACACUUAAAACUACUCAGAAGAACUCGAGAAACUGAAACUUGUAUAGCAGUCUAGUCAACGAUACAAGUCUUGUUCACAUUACUUAAGCAUUUAUUUCUUUCUUCUUUCUAGUUUACUAUGCAUGUCAUUCAAAUAUUCAAUCAGACUACCACAAACCACAUGUAUAAAUUUUGAAUCUUUAAUCAAUACUAUCAAUACCCAUGUGGCAACAAACAAGAAUUACAACAAAACUAUCAAAACCAUCAAACCAAAACUGAAAAAAGAAUCACGGGGCUUCAGAAAAAACUGAAUCUUGAUUAACCAAAACAACUUCAUGAUGAAAGAAAAAAAAGAAAAACUAAACAGAAAUGCAACAAAAACAUACAAAAGAAUCAUGGGUAUUGCAGAAAAAUUGAAUCUUGAUUAAAAAAACUAACUGAAACCAACAUAAAAGGUGACAAAAAGGUGAUACCUUGGCUCAGUAAACUGAAAAAGAAAAACUUUGUAGGGUUUGUUCUAUAGAAUUGACUGGAAAUUGAAAGAAAACCUUCCAAUAUAUAUAUAGAGAAAAUUGGGUAUCAGCAAAAUGAUUUGGAUUUUGGUGUGCUGAGGCGGCUAGAGCUUUAUCACUCCCAUUUCUUUAAUUUUGUUAAGCUAUAAAGAGAGAGUACUGUAGCAGAUUGAAUGAAAAAGAAUGGUUAAGGUGGCACGGGGAACUAAAAGGUGCGGCACUAUCCAUAGUUUCUUUUUGUGGUCCCUCUUAAUAGACAUAUUUUUUACGUAUAGUUUUUCAUCUGUUAUUCGAUAUUUGUAUAAAGAAAUAUUUUCUAUCAAAGAUUUUUUCAUAUUCAAAGAUCGAAAUUGAGUCUUUCUCAUUAAGAAAUGAGUAGUUCGAUCAAUCUCCUGGUGACAAUUAUUUAUUUGUCAAUGUUUUCUUCUUAUUUUGAUUUCUCGAACCGAGAUUCAUAAAUUUAAAUUUUGACUUUUUAAAUGUUAUGUAUAUAAUAAAAUGUUUGUUAAUAUCACAAGUGUUUAGAACUUGGAGUCUAUUGAUAAAGUUAUCUAAUGCUUCAUCUUUUGAUUUGUAUUAAAGAGAAUGUAGAAGACGUUAAGUUGAAGAGUUACAAUCGUCGGAAAUUGCUUAGUUAUCAUGUUUCUGAUUAAAGAUUGUAUAUUCAGAACUCGAAAUCAAAACUUCUGAUUAAGAAAUGAGCGGUCUCACUAUAUCUUCAGUUAAUAAUUGUUUAAGUAGUCAAUACUUUCCUCUUGUUUUGAUUUCUCGAACCGAGAUUCUCAAAUUAAAUUUUUAAUGCAUUUUUAUUGUUAAUUAAAGCUACGUACAAUUACUUUUUAAGUGUUAUGAAUAUAACAAAAUAUUUGUUUAUAUCACGAGUGUUUAAAAUUUAAACUCUGUUUAUAAAUAUAUAUAUAUAUAUAUAUAUAUNNNNNNNNNNNNNNNNNNNNNNNNNNNNNNNNNNNNNNNNNNNNNNNNNNNNNNNNNNNNNNNNNNNNNNNNNNNNNNNNNNNNNNNNNNNNNNNNNNNNNNNNNNNNNNNNNNNNNNNNNNNNNNNNNNNNNNNNNNNNNNNNNNNNNNNNNNNNNNNNNNNNNNNNNNNNNNNNNNNNNNNNNNNNNNNNNNNNNNNNNNNNNNNNNNNNNNNNNNNNNNNNNNNNNNNNNNNNNNNNNNNNNNNNNNNNNNNNNNNNNNNNNNNNNNNNNNNNNNNNNNNNNNNNNNNNNNNNNNNNNNNNNNNNNNNNNNNNNNNNNNNNNNNNNNNNNNNNNNNNNNNNNNNNNNNNNNNNNNNNNNNNNNNNNNNNNNNNNNNNNNNNNNNNNNNNNNNNNNNNNNNNNNNNNNNNNNNNNNNNNNNNNNNNNNNNNNNNNNNNNNNNNNNNNNNNNNNNNNNNNNNNNNNNNNNNNNNNNNNNNNNNNNNNNNNNNNNNNNNNNNNNNNNNNNNNNNNNNNNNNNNNNNNNNNNNNNNNNNNNNNNNNNNNNNNNNNNNNNNNNNNNNNNNNNNNNNAUAUAUAUAUAUAUAUAUAUAUAUAUAUAUUGCUUCAUCUUUUGAUUUGUAUAUAAAAAAGAUGAUCGAAGACGUCAAGUUAAGAGUUGCUAUUGUCAAAAAUUGCUUACUUUAUCAUAUUUACGUUAGUGAUGUUGCUUAUUGUCUAAUCUAAAUUUAAUACUUUUCAUCAAUUAAUGAAAUUGUGAUUCUUGUAAUCUAAAUUCAAUACUUACCAUUAGUUGACUCUAUGUUCAUUAUUGGUUUGUAUUUCCAUGUUUACACAUAAUGAUAUUUUUGUUUUUAUUUCUUAAUAUAUUUUUUGGAUUUCUAAAUAAUAAACUCACACGUAAUCUCAACGAAAAAUAAAAACAUAGUAAUUUUUUUCUUAAAAUUUGGUAUAUUUGUAUUUUUCAAUAAUAACUAUGAAAAAAUAUGAUCAACAAAUAAGUCAAGUAAAAUUUAAUCUAUCUGUAAUAUUUCUUUUAAAAUUUGUCCAAGUCAUUUUAAUCAACUAGACAAAAAAAAAUUCGAAACAAUUUCCAGAUUCAAACUCUCCACGUGCUUUAUAUUUUACCAAGUCAAGUGCGCUAGCUGCAAUAAAAAAUAAUGUGGAUAAGAAAACGAAUGCACAACAGUUUUUACACAGUUGAUGCUCCCUUGCUUCUUUCUUUUGAACCGGAGCUUACUUGGUAGUAAAAUAGUUCGUGAAAAUUAAAUAAGAUUUAUGUUAAGUACAUAAUAGUCAAGUCAAAUAAGCAAAAAUAAAUUUUAUUUUAUCGAUAAAGCCAAUCGCAAUUUCGCAAUUAUAGAUUAGCUUGUUAUACAAAAUUUCAAAGAAAUAAUUAUUGAGUUGUGUCACGUUCAAUUUGGAAUUGAUUCCCAAAAGAGGCCUAAUUGUUUUUUGUGUUCAAUAAAAAAUAAAAAGAUUCCUAAAUUGUACCAUGAUAUUCUCUAGUUAAUGUGAUUAAACUUUAAAUAAUUUGUGAAAGGACAACAAUAUCGGAAUUUUUUUCUUUUAUUUUAUUAGAGCAUAAAUAAAAUAAAUAUAUGCUUUCACAUGGCAGUACCGAAUUUUUAAAAAUAAUAUAAAGUUUAUUCAAUAUAAUAAUAAAAAUCAUUUAGCCUCCUUUUUUUCCACUCACAUAAAAAACAGAGAAAAAAACGGUAUGAGGAAGUUUUCCAAAAAGAAUUUCUUUAAAAUCUUUUUUCUGAUAUCCAAAAUGCAUUUUUUCUUGUUGGAAAGACUAGCUAAUUUUAAUAAUAAGAUACAUUCGAUAUUUGUGAUAAGGAUAAUAAUUUCGAGAAAAAAUUUGAUAUUAAUUUUAUCUGAUGUUUGGUGUGAGUUAUUAACUAAUCAAGCUUAUUUUAUUCAACUAUUUACACUAAAAUGAUACUAUUACUAUCCCAUAUAAAUAAAAAUAAAAUACUUUCAUAAAAUAUCUUAAUUUGAAAUAAGGAACACUUUUGAAAUAAAAUAAUUUCAUAAAAUAUCUUAAUUUAAAAUAAAAUAAUUUUAUAAAAUAUCUUAAUUUAUCUCAUCCCGCGUAGGCGCGUACUAAGCAAGCCUAAAAGAUGAGGAACCUUUUGAUUGAAUGGUCUUAUAUAUAUUAGGACCACUUUCCUUUAAUGGUCAAUAUUUUAUUAUAUUUUCCGAAAAGUAAAUGUGUCAUAAUACCAAUAAAGUUAUUGGUAAAAAAAAAUGUUUCUAACUUUCAAUAGUUCCAAAUAUUAAGUAAACAAAAAAUUAUACAAGGUGUAUAAUUUUAGUAUAUAACGGAUAUACACAAAUUAUAUAUUAAUUAUAUAUUGUCUAGUAACUAAGAAAUAUAAAAUAUAUAAAUAAUGAUCUCACAUAGUUAUAUUUUUAUUUCUAUUAAAAUAGAUUGUCCAAAAAGAAAAAGUUCAUAGAUUAUUGGUAAGAGAUUUAAUAUUAUUGUUUUGACUUUUAGUGAACAAUAUAGAUAAUGAUUGUAUUACCUAAGUGCAUAUGUAAUAUGUCUCUAUCUAAAUAAGUAGUGUACAAGUUGAAUUAGAAGACAUUAGAGGAUCAAUAUGAGUUGUGGUAUAAUGAUGAGAUUGUUUUAUUUUUAAUUAGAGAUUUCGAGUUUGAGCUUUGGGUAUAGAGAGAAUCUUGUCGAAAACGUCACCUCCAAAUGGGACAUGCAGACGAUCUAAUUUAGUCGAAGCUCCAAUGCAGAUUCCAAAUGCCAAAUUAAGAAAAAAAACAUAUUAAUGUGUUGAUGACGCAAAGUGCAAACAACAUUGAAUUCAAAUGUGCUAGACCAGUUUUUUAAUUAAAAAGGACACCAACUAUAUAUUAUAAAGAAAAAAGUGUGACCAAAUGCAAUUUAUAGUGUGUAGCAAUCAUUAGCUAUGGAUUCUUCCUAUACAAAGCACAAUUAUUUCAAAUAAUAAUUUAUAAUCAUAAUAGGUCCCAAUAUAUAUAUAUAUAUAUAACGAACUAACUAAUACUAUUUAAUUUGUUUAUCGAGGAGCAAGAAAAAAAUAUUUUUUUAAAGAAAAAUAUUCUAGAAUUUAUAAAUCGAAUUGUUGUUAGACUAGUAUAAUAUGGAUAUGUGGAGCUUAUCUUCAACUCCAUCGUAGAAUUAGAAGAACCGUUAAUUUUUUUAUAAGGAUAAAAGAAAACUAUGAAAAUAAUCAUAGUUAUAUUUUUAUCGAGAUUUUUAAAAAAAAAAACGUGAAUUCAUUCUUCUUUAUUAAAAAUAUAUACACGUGAGUGAAUAAUUUUUUGUUUCUAAUCUGCAUAUAAAUAUAAAUUUAUAAUUUAUUUGACCAAGCUUCUGAAAAAUUCAAACCAUUUAACUGUAAAACUAUGAAUGGUUAAAAUGCAACCAAGUCUUGAAGAGAAGAAUAAAUUAUAAAUGAUAGCCAAAUCAACAAUUUUUAAUUUUAUUUUCAUGAUUUUUCAUAAUGAAUUAUGUAUAACUUAUAACAUGUCAUUCUCUUGAAAAACUUGAAAAUUUGGGUGAACGGGCCUUAAACAACUGGGCCAGGCCCAAACUACAAUGGGUUGGGUGACAAGAGCUAAUUACCCCACAGCCCAUUUUUUGUUCAAAUUCUGUUUCUUGGCAAUUUUGUGUAGUAACUAUUUUUAAUCUUUAACAAAAACAACUUUUAGUUAAGUAGACACGACUAGACAAGAUGACGCAACUUCAAAUUAUCGAGGACAUGAUUCUAGAUAGGAGAGUGAAAAUUGCGUAGUGGAUAAAGGUUUAGUUGAUGGUGGAUGUUGUCUUACUUUUCGAGAGGUUCAGGCAUCUUGGUGUACAUCAUUGUACUAGUUGUAUUCUCUUAGAAUAGUUCUUGUUUUUAAUAUCUAUCAUUAUUUGUUUAUUAUGUUUCCAUUACUGCAAUUUUUUAUUGUUGUUCUUAUUGCUUCUCUUAUUAGUCGUGAUAUUUCUUCACUAUAUCUGAAUUUGUUGCACUUCAAUCGAAGGUCCUUUAGAAACAACAUCUCUACCUCCGCAAGGAGGUAGUAAGGCCAACCUACACUCUACCCUCUAAGUAAAGAGUGGGAAGAGCACCUCGCAAGAGAACACUGUGACACAGUGAGAAGUGUUCCCAUCGGGUUUCCGACCCUCCAGGUCUCCACCUACUAAACAAACUUGAGUAUACAUGGAUCGACGGAGUAGUUAUUACAUCGACUUAAACCAAUGUUCUUCCGACCAAAUAUGUUGAAAAUUUAAGGCAUUUCUAAUAAAGAAAAUGAAAUGAAGACAAGAAAUCAACAAACACAAUCACUAAUGCAUGUGGAUUUUUCUCCUUUCCUCCCUCAGCUGUUCUCCAGCCCCUUUCCUCGGGGGAUCAUCACUUCACUUCCUUGGUGACUCAAACUUGGAACCUCAAUAAUAGAGGUGGAGGGUGCUCACCAGUCGAGCAACCCCAACCCUGCCUGUCCCGGUUUAUUGUUUGCUUCAUCGUUUAGUGAAACACGAUUCUAUAUAGAAGUGUAUAGUUAUCAACAUCACUAAAUUUGCAGGAUAAAGAUCUUAAACCAAGCUGCCUCUUGACAUCCAUUCAUAAUUCAUACAACCACAGCACAGAAACUACAGCAUGAGGAAAGGUUGGCUCAAAGAAGAACUGCUCUCAAACCAAACUAAGAGCAAAUUUUGAACUAUACUAAAGUUUGGUGCAGUGGAAAUCAUGGUGCUUAGCCAGAGAAAACCAAGAAACAGCUAAGGAACAUAUGCAGCACAUUCACUGCAACAACUAGAAGAUAAAUACGAUUUCGACGAGAUAACUGCAGUAAUGGUGGUGUUGCAAGUUCUGUUUUCCUAGGGAAAGCUUUCAGCCAUUCAUAUGCAUCUUAUUUUCAUUAUUAUUUAUGUCCAAACCUUUUAAGACGCUACAAGUUACAUCUUAAAAUCCAAAAGCAAGUAGCGACCGUCAGAAGAUAUACAUAUAUAAUACAAAUAUCACAUACAAAGUCAGAUUGAUGGCAGCCCAAUGUAGACCACCUUCUGAUACACUUCUUGCCCUGCAUUUUAGUUUUACAUUUUUCUAUAUCCUAUUUGAAUAUUAUUAAGCGCAACUACUGUACAUUGGGGAGAUGUUACCAGAAACCAUCAUCAACGGCCACUGCAGAUGGAGGAUAAGGAUCAUCCUCUUCUUCCAUCUCCAAUUCUGGUUCAGGGGAUCCGAAUUCAGUCAGCUCAACAGCAGCAAGGUUCUUUAGGUCAAUGAUUGAGAGCUCAUCAAGGUGCCUCACGACCAAGUCAGCAGCACCAAGCUCAUACACUGGAUGUUUGCUGGCAACAGCGACACACUUCAUCUGAGCAUCAUGUGCAGCCUCCACAGUUUGAUUUGAGUUCCCGAACACAAUACACCUCUCUGGUAUGAAUUGUAGAAGCUGUGAUGCAUAGACAAACAUCUCCGGAUCAGGCUUCCCUCUGUGAACAUCCUCUGCGGCUACAAUGACACUAAAAAUCCCUUCAAAGCCAAUGGUACCAAUUGCAUUCUCGACAUACUUUCUUGGGCGUGUAGACACUAAAGCCAUUGGCACCUUGUAGUGCAUCAGGGUACUGACAAACUCCUGUGAUCCAGGUCGGAAGCUAUAAAUUCCCCCCUGCAGGCCUUGAUAAAUAUCCUCCUUCCGAGUAGCCAUUCUCUUCACUUGAACAGGAUCUCUUGACCAGCAGAGAACUUCUGAUAUCGCUUGCUCAUUCUUCAUUCCUUCAAUUCUCUUCAAAAUAAAACCCGGAGGCGGUGAUUUUCCUUCUUCCUGAGACAGAGCUAACCACGCUUGCUUCUCAAGAUCUGGAUUGUCUUCAGUUAACACACCUUCCCAUUCAAAUAUAGCUGCUAACCAUCCACAGCCCAUCCUCUCUUGUCUAAGCAAUGGAUUAUGAAGAGCUGGAUUAUCAGCUUUAUUCGUUGGUGGCCAUUUCCCUGGCUUUUUAUCCACAUCAGUCUCAAUCCUAUAACGGAAAUCUUUCGAUAAUCUCUCGUCCUCUCUGUACGAAAAUGCCUCUUUGGUUAAUUCCAUCGCCUGACCUCUAAUCAACGAAUACCUCACACAAUCACCUCUUAAUCUCAGUAAAUUAGAACCACAAACAAGCUUUCUGCCAAGAAAAUCGGCAGAAGGUAAUCGACAUACAUCAAUCGACUUCCGUUUACUCGACACAUCUUUGCUACAAUUAACUCCAUAAACUGGCACCCUCCCUAAGAGUGAUAUUGCACCAAUUGAUUCAACCAUCCUCACUAACUAAUCUUCCACCCCAACAACACCAAAUCUUUAACUUCAAAGAAUCAAACUUUCCACCACAAAACCUCUCAAAUCACCCCAACUUAACACAAUCUCAACAAAUCCCACAAACCCAAUAGAACUUUCAAACUCCCCCAAAUCACCACAGAACUAAAGGGACAAAAGGGAACAAAUAAAGCAACCCUUUUAACAAUAAAGAUCCAAACUUUACUCAAUACCCAUCAUUAAACAACACAAUACAACCCAAAUUUCGUCCACAACACGCCAAUUCAAGAAUCAACACGUAAUAAGUAGAUUACUUAAAGGAAAAGGAAAGAUAAGAGCAACCCACCCAAACCCAAAUCAAAA
rnacentral:lncRNA from 1 species